rnacentral:lncRNA from 1 species
UUUAAGAUGAGUGACUGAAGCUUCAAAUUGGCCAAGAACACACGGACCAGUCUCAUUUUCAGAUGCAAACCAAAUGUUUUAGAUGCAAAGGCAGGUGACAAAGACUCACAAGAUUCAGGUUCACAGGAGAAUUAAGAUUGAAAGGUUUGCAUCUUUCGCCAUUCCCACAGAAAUCACAGAUACAAUAUCGGCCUUCCUCAUCGAGAUCUGAUGAAAGGGCCACUACACUACAGCUUGCAACUCGAGACCAGGCAACACGACACGGUUCCUCGGCGCAGGCUAGGCUAUGGGGGCGGCUACUCCUUGGCGGCGACCUUCUUCUUGGGGGACUUGGUGGCCGUCUUCUUCUUGGGCGACUUGGCCUCCUUCUCGGCGGCGGCGGGGGACUUCUUGGGGAGCAGCACAGAGUUGAUGUUGGGGAUCACGCCGCCGUGGGCGAUGGUCACGCCGGCGAGCAGCCUGCCGAGCUCCUGGUCGUUGCGGACGGCGAGGAGAAGGUGGCGCGGGAUGAUGCGGGUCUUCUUGUUGUCCUUGGCCGCGUUGCCGGCGAGCUCCAGGACCUGAGAUUUCAAGCAAGAACCAAGUCAGUUAUCUGUCGAACACAAGAAGAACAGAGCAGGACAGAUGCUCGGGGACAGGAAAGAUCUGUGCGCACCUCGGCGGCGAGGUACUCGAGGACGGCGGCGAGGUAGACGGGGGCGCCGGAGCCGACGCGCUGGGCGUAGCGGCCCUUCUUGAGGUAGCGGCCGAUGCGGCCGACGGGGAACUGGAGCCCGGCCUUCACGGAGCGGGUCACCGCCUUCUUCCUGUCGCCGCCCUUCCUUCCGGCCAUCUUGCUUGCUUGCUGCUUCUCCGGCGAUGAGGGCUCUCGAGGUGUGGUGUUGGCGGCGGUUGCGCUAGAUCGGGAUGCUCUGAGUUUGUGCUUCUGGACGGCGGCGAGGGCGCGGCUUUUAUUGGAGGCGGGAGCGUCGCGGGAGGGGGGAGCGAUCCGCGUGACGUGCUGCGCCCACCGUUGGAUCUGAGGGGAGCGUGGCGGGCAGGGGGGGUGAUCCGUGGGAGCUCCAGAUGGGCCAAUCAGAGAGCAGAGAUUUGCGAUGCUUGUAAUUGAAAUUGAGUUCAAAACCAAAAUCAGACCAUUUACUGAAAUGGGCAUGAAUUCUCUUUCUUUUGCCAUUAGAUGGGCUUCAAUUCUGAUUCUGUUGUUUGGUCGUAUAUAAAAUUGUGAUAUAAUUGGGAUUAAGUGGAUAUCAAUACCAAUUUUUAUUUGGAAUAGCUAAAAAAUUCUUUGUGCAUUGCAACUGGGGCAUACAUUUUUUGUGGUUUACAUCAACUACGUCUAUCUUCCGCCCACUACCUCUGCCUCCCAAUCCAAUCUUACCACCUAUGUAGAUGGCUUGUCUAAUCAAAACCCCUGUUCCACUGUCACCUACACACUUUGGAGUUUAGACAUAUAAUUGUGCAGUUGUGUAUAUGUGAAGAUUCCAAGAAGGGAAAAAACAUACGUACAGAUCGUCAAUAUCCAUCUAGCCUCUACAUAGCAUUGGGAUGAAAAAGAAAAGUCAAAGACAUAGGAACCUAAGUUGGUCCGGUGGAAUAAAAGCUGGAGAAAACACGAGUUCACAAGUGGACUUAAAGACAUGGUAUGAAUAUAUCGAAAAGAAAGGGUGACUUUUGAAGAACUCAUGAUGAAUGACAGUAUUAAGCAGAUUGGUGGUUAACUACUCAUAUAGUCAAUAUUCUUGAGUAUAUUUUAUCAUUAUUUAUGUUUUACAAUGUUCCUCUUAAAUGUUAGCCUUUGCACCGAACAUUCGUCUUAUCACAACAACGAUGGGUCACUAGGAUUUAGUAGCACUCAUAAGAAGAUUUAGUACUAUCAAAUAUUCCCUCCGUCCCAAAAUAAGUGUCUCAACUUUGUAUCAACAUUGAGACACUUAUUUUGGGACGUGGAAGUAGUAUGUUGUGAUGACCAUUGGCAUGAGAAGCUAAUGUGUCAUUGUCAUUAUCAUUGUACUAACAUUGGAAUGGAAGGUGUUUAGUAUUUAUUUCUUCCUAAAGCAGCAAGUUGUAUUGCAUUGACUACACAAAUUGCUAGCAAAGUAAUUCAAUAUAUUUAACAUCCCACAAGUGUUUCCUAUUUUAGGACAAGCGGUAUUCCAGAAAGUAUUUGCAUUGAUCCAAUGAGUUCCCCUUAUCAAGUAUGAUGAGGUUCCAACACAAGGAUUCAUGGGUCGAAGAUAACCCAUGUGAUUUUUAGUUGUGAGGAUUUUGGAGGGUUCCACAACCUUGGGAGUAACAUGUACAAUUAUUUUCAUACUAACUUGUGUCACCAAUCCAUAACUAUAGACGGAAAACAACUAAGAAAUGAAAAAAAAUUAGUGAUAAAGCCAACAAGCGCACAUGAGAUAUCCACCAUAUGAUAUUGCUCCCCAGCAACAGCGCUAGAAAAGAGCUUGAUAUUCCCCAAGUACAAGGAAUUGCCUUAGCAAUUUCCAAAGGUGGAUGUGAUAAGUAUGGAGUGUGAAACUGACAAGGAGCUGAAGGUAGGAUUAAUAUUCUGUGAGGUCCUAUAUGCCACUGUUACAACCCCACGUACACUAAACCUUUGCUUCACCUAGGAAAUGAACUAUAACUACGUUCUAGGUGUAAAAGGGUAGCUUUGCAAGGUAAUAGAUAACUAGAAAAUAAAGGCCGGUGUUGUUUAAGUAAAAGUACAAUAAAACAAAGAUAGCGAGGGUGAAAAAGCGGUGAUAGGAUAUGGGAAAUUGUCCCUAGGCAAUUGGCUAAAUUACUAGAUUGAUCGUCCUCAUUGCAGUUUGAUAUGUGGGAGAGGCCUCUGUUAACAUACAGUUCGUACCUGGAAUCAUAUGUGCUUAUGAUUAGAACUACUAGCAAGCAUCGACAAAAACUAACACCUUCAUUAAAGUAAACUCAAUCAUAGCAUUAAGGUAUGUAUUGGUCCCAUUCAUCCCAUACGCACCAUGAUGAAAACAAUAAACUCAACAAUACAUACAUGUGUCUUGAAUAUAUAAUCAACAUCGUAGAAGAUGCAUCCAUGGUAAAGAAAAGUAUAAUAAAAAAUUGUCAAAUCUCGUGAGAAUUUUUCACCUAUCUCCUAAUCCCAUAAUAUGAGCCCAUGCAAACUUUUGCAUUUUUUCAACCAUAUUGGCUGAUUCCUAAUUUUUAGAUGAAAAUGCCAAAAUUGCAUUUAAAACCUAAAAGUAGCAAAUCAAAUAUGAAAAACCUAAGUUGAAAUUAUUUCUAAUAUGUAAUUUAAUUCAUGUAGAAAAAGUGACUCCAACUCUCUUUGUCACACGUCGGAUGCAGUGUACCUCUGUUCUAUUGCUUCUGCAGAGUGUGUCGGGAGAUCUGGGAUGUUGUUGCUCACUGACUUGAACUGAGGUAAGUUAACUUCUUUUCCUGAAUUUCAUGGUCAAACACAAAGAAGAACUUAAGGGACACAAGAGGGAAGAAAAUGAAAAACUUUGGCAAGAUGUACAUGCUUGUGUUGAUCAGCGCUUUAUAUUUACAUGGAGACGAAAUAAUAGGAUAUUUGGUUCAAAUAGGAUGGAUAUCUCUAAGCAUAUUGCCACUAGGAAAAAAAACACUCUACUGUUCAGAUUCAUAACUUUCCAUAAACAGGUUUUACUUGAUCGAAAUUGGAGGUUAAGAUAGCUUGAUUUUUUUCACUGGGAUUAGACUUAUGUUUUACUCAGAAAGUCCAUCUACCUAUCUCUCAAAUAAAAGAAAAAUGAACCUAACUAGUGUGAUGUAAAUUUUCUGCCGUAUUUGUGCAUAGAACUGGUUCACCUGGUUGUUACCGAGGAAAUAGAUGAUGUUUUUAAGAGAUGUCAUUCUUUUAUAUUAAAGAGAUGGCGUUUUGGAUUAAGAGAUGAUAUUUUUUAUUUAUUAAGAGAUGGCGCUUAAAAUUAUUAAGAGAUGUCAUUUUUUAUUUUAAAGAGAUGAAAAUUUUAUAUUAAGAGAUGGCAUUUUUUAUUUUAAAGAGAUGAUAUUUUUAUAUUAAGAAAUGGUCAUUUUUAUUAUGAAAAGAUGUCUUCCCUUAGGUACAUGGCAUUUUUUCUAAUACCAUGGCAUUUUUUCUUUGUUUUUGCAAGAAAGAUACAGAUUUUUUCGUCCACGACAUUAAAUAAAACAGUAAACUGGGUCCUAUGGGCCAAUGGGGGUUCUCCCUGGGCGAACAAUCGAUGGGAGCAGCUCGCCUGACCGACAAAUUCAGUGCCUCCCUCCCUGGCGAUCGACCGCCAGAUAUAUGCGUCCAUUAUCUAUUACUCCCUCCGUCCAAAAACUCUUCUCCCUGGUGCUAGAUAUAUUCAUUUGAGGGACAAUUUUUUUUGGACGAAGGGAGUAUUACAUAAUAGAAGAAAAAAUAUCCAUUAUGUAAGCAAGCGGUAAAGAAAAAGAUAGUACAUUGUAUAUAGUGAAAAAUCCAAAAAUGAAAUUAUUUGCGGAAACAAAACAAAGAAUGAAAGAAAACAUAUUUCACAUAAAAUAAAUAAAUAAAUGAUGUGGGCCAAAAAGUGGGAAAAUUAAAAUAUAAAGAGGACCAGAAAAACGGAUGAGAAAUAAAAUAAUGUGGAUACGAACCCAUUCACACGCAGGCCCAUCAAACUCUGGUCCAAUCCACUAAAAAAACCCAUUCACCCCGACGACACGCAGUAGUAUUUGCAGUCCAUCGAGAAAAAAAACAUCUCUGCCGCCGCCGCCGCCGUCCGCCGUGGCCGCCGCUCCUGCGCCACGCUCCGCCUCCGCGAGUGCUUCGUUUCCCGUCUCCUCUCUUCUCCAUCCACCUCUGCCGACUGCUCUCCGCCGCCUCGUCAUGAAAACGUAGUAGCUUCGCCGUGGAGGAGUACCUGGUUGACACCUGCGGCCUCACCCGUCCCCAAGCCAUCAAGGCUUCCCUGAAGCUCUCCUACCUCAAGUCCCCCGCCAACCCCGACGCCGUCCUCGGCCUCUCCGGCGCCGAUGUUGCCGCCGUUGUCGCCAAUGUCGUCGCCGUUGUCGCCAAAGACCCGCAGUUCCUCUGCGCCAGCGUGGACAAAACCCUGGCCCCCGUCGUCACCGGGCUCAUCGGCCUCGGUCUCUCGAGUCCUGAGAUCGCCCGCCUCGUCUCGCUCGCCCACAGCGGCUUCCGCUGCAGAUCUGUAGUCUCCAAGCUGCACUACUACCUGCCCCUCUUGGGCUCCUUCCACAACUUCCUCCGGCUGCUCAAGCGCUCAUCCCGCCUGUUGUUUUCGAACCCCGACAAGGUUGUCAGGCCCAAUGUUGCGUUUCUGAGGGAGUGCGGGCUAGGUGAUUGUGAUAUUGCCAAGUUGUGUAUCCGUGUGCCGAGGUUGCUCACCACUAACCCAUAGCACGUCGGGGUGAUGGUCGCAUCUGCUGAAAGAUUAGGCGUGCCCCGCGGCUCUGGGAUGCUCAGGCAAGCACUGCAGGCUGUCGCGUUACUCAGCGAGGAGAAGAUAGCCGCCAGAUUGGAGUACUUGAAGAAUACAUUCAGCUGGUCUGAUGCCGAAGUGAGCAUUGUUGUGCGCAAGCAUCCUAGCGUGCUGAAAAAUUCAAAGGAAUCUCUGAAGAGCAGGUGCAAGUUCCUGUUAUCUGAGAUGGGGUUGGAACCGGUGUACAUUGCUCAUCGGCCGAUAAUUCUCAGUCUUAGCCUGGAGGGCCGGGUCAAGCCCCGGUACUAUGUUCUCAAGUUCCUCAAGGAAAAUGGGUUGGUAGACCGCGAGCUGAGCUUCCAUACUGCAGUCAAUAGGCCUGAGAAGUAUUUCGUGGAGAAGUACAUAUGCCCUUACAAGAAAGCCGCACCACACCUUGCUGCGGACUAUGCAACCGCUUGCAAAGGGGAGAUACCAACUAAUUUCUUGUUUAGAUGAAUCAAAAAUGGGCCAAGGAAAUUGGUUACUGCGUAUGGCACAACAUAGUUUUACCAUGCAUGUAAGCUGUAGGUGUUCUUUGCCUAAGAUCAGUCGGUUGUUUUCUGUAGUAUGCCUGUUACAUGCCAGUUAGUCAUUGCUAAAUGCUAACUCCCUAUGAAACUGUUAAUUUGAUUCCUGAACCCCGAGAUGUUGAUGUUGUCAGGCUUCCAUUGAAUAUCAUGGAAAUUGUGUGUGAGUAGACCAACUUUGUGAUGAAUCCAGCAUUCAUGAAACCAGAAACCAAAAGAAUAACCUGUUGUCAUUUUCCACCAAACUGUAUCAGUAUGAUCUGUUUCCAUGCCAAAAUUUAUCUAUCAUGCAUGUUCUAUUUUCAUUUCAUUGUCUCUUAGGUUCCAUUGUAUGUCAAUUAGUACUAACUUUGUUUGAUGCUUAGGUUAGACUUCGAGACACUGAGACUUUCCACCUGUUGUCCACCCUGUUACACGAAACUGAGACCUUCCACCGGUUUUCCAUUCUAACAUAAAGAGUGGCAAAUUGUUGUGUUUUGUGAUUUAAUUAUGUGUCCUGGUUGUGUGAGCAACAAGGGUAACCAUCCCCACUGCUGUCACCAUGCCAUUAUAUACAAACAUUUUCCCUGUUCAAACACAUGAAAGAUCACGGCCAUUUAGAUCUGACCAGGAAGAGAAAAUUGCAUAGAUUAGUUGUAUCGUGUGAAAGCUGCAAAUGGCAACUGCAGCUGAUGAUCAACAAGAGGAGAAACAGUAUAUAUUCAGUGAAAACAGAAUAUGAGUUAGUAAAAGUUAUACGGUUAUACCGAGGUGAUGAAAUGCCUAUCUGUGAACUGAGCAUCGACCAGUUGGCUAGUGGAGUGUGGCCUGCUGCACACUCAGCCUGCCACCCGCGUUCGAGCCUUUGGCAUCCGAAGGAUGCUGUGCCUGGGUUGUUUCUUCUAAAUCGAAAAUACCACAAUCUAGUCUCUGUUGUUUAUUUUUUCAUGCUCAGUGACUUGAAGUGAGGUUCGUUAACUUUCUUUUCCUGAAGUUCAUGAUCAAAACGGAGAAGAAUGUACCACUUAGGCAAGAUGUGCAUGCUUGUGUUGACAUCUGGUUAUAGUAAUGUGGAGAUGAAUGCAUUGGAUGCUAGGUUCAUAUAUGAUACAUAUAUCUAGGCCCAUUACCAGUAGGAAAAAAAUCACCCUGCAUUUCAGAUUCAUAAACCUUCUUAAAAUAGUUAUACUUAAGCAAAAAUAAUAGUUAAGAUAGGUUAUUUUUUCACUGGGAUUAGACUUACGUUUUACUCAGAAGUUCCAGCUAACCAUCUCUCGAGUAAAAGAAAACAAACCUAAUCAGUCCGAUGAAAUUUUUCUGCUGCAUUGGAGCAUAAUAUGGUGAUGCUGAAUUACCGUAUUAAGCAUGAGUAUAUUUUUCUUAAUUUGAAGCAAUGGACCACUGCAAGUGGUUUGCGGUUGCUAAUGUUCAGUUCUAACUAUUAAACAUUCAUUUUGAGUGGAUGUUUCCAUUGAUCCUUCAGGUCAAAAAUGUAAAUGCAAUUGAGGCUGGUGAGUUGUGCGAUUUUUUUUCCAAAACUAUGAUACAUUAUAUAGCAUUUUCGAGAACUAUAGCACGUAAUGCAAAAAAACCAAAACUAGUAGCCCGUCGGCCAGGUGUUGGCCGAAGUGGCGCUUUUCGGUCGCAGCUUGGCCGAAAUGGGCUUUUCGGCCCGCGGUUGACCGAAGACACGCCUAGCUGGGCCGAAAACCGGGCGUCGGUGGAAGUAUGGCCGAAAAUAGUAACUUCGGUCUGGGGCCGACCGAAGUGGGCCUUUUCGGCCAAGCAUCAGCCGAAAAGUGCCGGAUAAGGCACCGCGCGGCGUCUCCUUCCUCUCGCCUGUGUGCCUCUGUUCUUCUUUCUCUCUCUCGUUUCUUCUCUGUACCUCACCACCCCUAACUGAUCUCCUUCGUUUGCCACCCAUUUUCACAUCUAAGCCACUGAAUCGGUAGAUCGUAGCAAUCUCAAACGGCCUACGGUGUUUUUUUUGCUAUGGGAUAGUUUUCUGUGCGUUUGGGGAGGAGUAGCCAUGGUGGGGAGGAGGAGAUGCGGUUGGGCAGGAGGUGUUGAUGAGGAGGAGCAGGAGUUGUGGGGGAGCAGCAGCUGUGGAGGAGGAGGUGCAGCUUGGGGUGACUGGAGUUGAACCUCCGGUCGUCGAGGGGGCGGCGGUGGUGCUGUCGUUGUUCGGUGGUGCAAGCACCUCCGCUAAGGUAUAAUCAUCUCCUCACAAAUUUUCUUUGAGUUGCAUAGUUUAGUUAGCGUAGAUAAAUUAUAUUGCGAAUUGUAGUGUUAAUUUGUCCUUGUGAUGGCAUUUUAGCGGAGUAAUAAUUGUGUUAGUGUAGCAGAAUAAUAAUGAUUGUGUUAGUUUAGCGGAUAAUAAAAAUUGUGUUAGUGUUAAUUUGUAUGUGGUGGCAUUUUAGCGGAUUUUAGUUAGUGUAGCGGAUAAUAUUAGUGUUCGUCGUGAUUAAUGAGAAGAUGGCAAUGUCUGACAGGUGAAAAUGUCCGAAUCAGUAAAUCUGAAUGUUUACUACGGCGCUGGUAAUGUUCGAUAUAAUGAGUUGGGGGUUGAUCUUAGCGAGUUUAAAAAUGGCGUCAUGACACUAGCAGACCCGGACAGACUGGACAUUAGACAAUUGAAGUACUGGUUGACAACUAGUUUCGGGCUGGAUCCUGAAGUAUGUUCCGCCAGUAUUCAUGCAUUGUGGACCAAAUCUUGUAAAAAUGUCAAGUGGGAGUUGAUGCCGGUAGAUAGGAGCCAGCAUUGGUUGUCCUUGUGAAGACGGUUUCCAGAUCGAAGAAUCCACCCAUAUGCACUUGUGCAACCUGUGCCGAAGGAGGAGAAUAUCGUACAACUCCACAGGGGGUAUGUACCCGGCCAAGGCAGUGAAGUGGCUAACGAGAUUGUUUUAUCCGGGUCACAGCCACAAGAUGUGGAUGCUAGCCAACCCGAGAAAGAGUCAGACUACGUGCCACACAAUGUUUGUGGUCCUGAUACUGGGCAGAGUAGCCAGUCGAUAAUAUUAGCUGGUUUUGGUAUUGCUGAUGGGGAUGAGGAAGGGGAUGAAAUGCAGAGGGUGAUGGAGGAAGAGGACGAGGAUGGAUUUGUGGAGGAACUGGAUUCUGAAAAUUCUGAGGAUGAAGUGGAGGUACCGAUUCCUUCUGCAUGGGAGCAGGACAUAUCCACCGGCCUUACGGUCAACGAUGGCCAUGAGACUCCAUGGCAGUAUAAUCUGAACCAAGUACAGAUAGGGGCUAUGUUUGAUACAAAAAAAAUUGAAGUAUGCGGUGAUAAAGUGGGUUAUGUCUACGUAGAGGGUUUUCCAGACACACAUAUCAAGUCCAACAAACUAUACCGUGAAAUGUGUUGUAACAGGUUGUCCUGGGAAGGUGCAUGGGCACGUGCUGAAGUAUGACAUCCACUGGGUUGUCACCAUUGUCGUCCCACAUAAUUGUGUGAGGAGAACCUGCUGGUCAAGCAUCCGAACCUGACUUCAAGUCUCAUUGCGCAACUCAUGUAUACUGAGAUAGUAGAGAAGAAAGACAUGGAAGCAAAACACAUCCAGACAGCAGUGAAGGUCAGAUGGAAUUAUGUCAUUCCUUAUGGGAAGGCUUGGAGGGCUAAGCAGAAGGCUAUGAAGGAAAGGUUUGGGGCGUUCUUUGACUCAUAUGAUAAUGUUGUCCGUCUCCUGGGCAUACUAAAGGAGAGGAAUCCCGGCACUUAUGUGAACGUACAACACAUGAGGUUGCUGAGUAUACCAGAUUUCAAGGUGUUGAAACGAGUGUUCUUCUCUUUUGCUAUGUGCAUCGAAGCUUUCCGGCAUUGUCCUCCUGUUAUGUUUGUGGAUGGUACAUUCCUGACCGGUCAGUAUAGAGGGCAAAUCCUGACUACUAUUGGUGUGGACGGGAACAAUCAAAUCAUCCCACUUGCCAUGUCAUUUGUGGAGGGUGAGAACUUUCUCAGCUGGGUAUGGUUCUUUCGCCAAGUGAAAAUUGCCAUCGUGAAGGACCGACCAAACGUGUGUGUCAUUCGUGACAGACAUGCUGGUAUAUUGAAGGCCGUGAAGACACUUCGUAAUCCAACAGAUGACGAACCAACACCUUGGAGGGACUUGCAGAGCCGGUGGUGCAUGCGCCAUCUUGGGGCUAAUUUUUUCUCACAGUUCAAGAACAAGCGGUUGAUGAACUUGUUCAAAAAAUUAUGCAAGCAGAGCCAGCAGCGCAAAUACGAAUUUAUUUGGUCAAAACUAGAUGAGUUUACUAAGAAGCAGGUCCAUGCGAGAAAGAAAAUGGAAGAAGAUCAGGUUAAAUUAACAGCACUCAUCGCGGAGCUAGAGGAGCCAGUAGGUCUUUGUGACUUGCCAGCAAUUGACCUUCCUAAUACUAAGAGAAAGAAGGGAAGGGCAAUAAAGAAUUUUUCUGAGUGGAUAGAGAAAGAGCCUCCAAUGAAUUGGUCUUUGCUGCAUGACACACAUGGAGCUAGGUAUGGCCACAUGACAACCAAUCUUGCAGAGGUGUAUAACUUUGUGCUGAGAGGGAAUAGAGCAUUGCCACUCACAGCUAUUGUGGAGGCUGUAUUCCAUGGCACUUUGAGACAUUUUAGAGAAAGGCACGAGUUAGCAAAGAAGCAUAUUGAAGAUAAUCAGAACACACCUUAUUGUAGCCGUGUCAUGGAAUACAUGGCAAAGAAGAUAGAGAAAGCAAAGAAGCACACUGUCAGACUCAUAGGGAAUCAAGAAAGGAGGUAUGAGGUUCAGCUUCCUACCGAUGGUUUUGGUUCUGAAAAUGAGGUGAAGACACACGAGGUAAAAAUUGGAACGGAAUUUUAUCCAACAUGUGAGUGUACAUGCAACAAACCGAAGUUGUUGCACCUACCUUGCUCUCAUGUGUUGGCUGUCUGUGGCCAGAUUGAGUUGGAUGCUAUAUCCUUCGUGUCCCCAUACUAUUUAAAAGAGGCAGUGCUCAACACCUGGACAAGCGAGAUGACAGGGUUUAGAGUCAUCGGCAAUUUUAACAAGGUAAACGACGGUGAGAGAGUAUACAUCCCGCAUCCAGACCUUCGGCGAACAAGUAGGGGCAGACGAAAGGCCCGUCGCAUCCGGAACGAUAUGGACCAGUCUGAAGCUGGUGGAGCAACCAGACAAUGUUUGUUAUGCGCGGCUUAUGGGCAUAGGAUGAAAUAUUGUCCCGACCUGAACAAAGAUGGUGCUUCCGCAUCGACGAGUGCUUCCACAUCGACGGCUGCGACAACAGGAGCAAGAGGCGGACGUGGUCGUGGCAGUCGAGGCCGAAGGGGCGGACGAGAAAGAAAUAACUUAAAAGCUAUAUAAUGUGUCGUAGUGGGUUUUAGGCCUUCCACUAUGUGCCGGAUCCCAUACUUCUGAAAAGUAUGCCACGCAGGCAUCGAUGCCAAGUGAAAAACUUUUGGCACUGCUCUCACAGCGUGGGAUAGUUUGGCACUGCCUGCAGACUGACCCACAUGUACUAUAAACAAAGGAAAACAAGUCAAUCAACCAACUACCAGCGUCUUCCUCUCAUACGCAUGCCCAUUUUUUAUCGCAUGAAUGAAUUUGGCGCCGGAGCAAGUGCUUGCUCCGAUGCCCUGAANNNNNNNNNNCUUUUCGGUCGCAGCUUGGCCGAAAUGGGCUUUUCGGCCCGCGGUUGACCGAAGACACGCCUAGCUGGGCCGAAAACCGGGCGUCGGUGGAAGUAUGGCCGAAAAUAGUAACUUCGGUCUGGGGCCGACCGAAGUGGGCCUUUUCGGCCAAGCAUCAGCCGAAAAGUGCCGGAUAAGGCACCGCGCGGCGUCUCCUUCCUCUCGCCUGUGUGCCUCUGUUCUUCUUUCUCUCUCUCGUUUCUUCUCUGUACCUCACCACCCCUAACUGAUCUCCUUCGUUUGCCACCCAUUUUCACAUCUAAGCCACUGAAUCGGUAGAUCGUAGCAAUCUCAAACGGCCUACGGUGUUUUUUUUGCUAUGGGAUAGUUUUCUGUGCGUUUGGGGAGGAGUAGCCAUGGUGGGGAGGAGGAGAUGCGGUUGGGCAGGAGGUGUUGAUGAGGAGGAGCAGGAGUUGUGGGGGAGCAGCAGCUGUGGAGGAGGAGGUGCAGCUUGGGGUGACUGGAGUUGAACCUCCGGUCGUCGAGGGGGCGGCGGUGGUGCUGUCGUUGUUCGGUGGUGCAAGCACCUCCGCUAAGGUAUAAUCAUCUCCUCACAAAUUUUCUUUGAGUUGCAUAGUUUAGUUAGCGUAGAUAAAUUAUAUUGCGAAUUGUAGUGUUAAUUUGUCCUUGUGAUGGCAUUUUAGCGGAGUAAUAAUUGUGUUAGUGUAGCAGAAUAAUAAUGAUUGUGUUAGUUUAGCGGAUAAUAAAAAUUGUGUUAGUGUUAAUUUGUAUGUGGUGGCAUUUUAGCGGAUUUUAGUUAGUGUAGCGGAUAAUAUUAGUGUUCGUCGUGAUUAAUGAGAAGAUGGCAAUGUCUGACAGGUGAAAAUGUCCGAAUCAGUAAAUCUGAAUGUUUACUACGGCGCUGGUAAUGUUCGAUAUAAUGAGUUGGGGGUUGAUCUUAGCGAGUUUAAAAAUGGCGUCAUGACACUAGCAGACCCGGACAGACUGGACAUUAGANNNNNNNNNNCGAAGAAUCCACCCAUAUGCACUUGUGCAACCUGUGCCGAAGGAGGAGAAUAUCGUACAACUCCACAGGGGGUAUGUACCCGGCCAAGGCAGUGAAGUGGCUAACGAGAUUGUUUUAUCCGGGUCACAGCCACAAGAUGUGGAUGCUAGCCAACCCGAGAAAGAGUCAGACUACGUGCCACACAAUGUUUGUGGUCCUGAUACUGGGCAGAGUAGCCAGUCGAUAAUAUUAGCUGGUUUUGGUAUUGCUGAUGGGGAUGAGGAAGGGGAUGAAAUGCAGAGGGUGAUGGAGGAAGAGGACGAGGAUGGAUUUGUGGAGGAACUGGAUUCUGAAAAUUCUGAGGAUGAAGUGGAGGUACCGAUUCCUUCUGCAUGGGAGCAGGACAUAUCCACCGGCCUUACGGUCAACGAUGGCCAUGAGACUCCAUGGCAGUAUAAUCUGAACCAAGUACAGAUAGGGGCUAUGUUUGAUACAAAAAAAANNNNNNNNNNGUGUACAUGCAACAAACCGAAGUUGUUGCACCUACCUUGCUCUCAUGUGUUGGCUGUCUGUGGCCAGAUUGAGUUGGAUGCUAUAUCCUUCGUGUCCCCAUACUAUUUAAAAGAGGCAGUGCUCAACACCUGGACAAGCGAGAUGACAGGGUUUAGAGUCAUCGGCAAUUUUAACAAGGUAAACGACGGUGAGAGAGUAUACAUCCCGCAUCCAGACCUUCGGCGAACAAGUAGGGGCAGACGAAAGGCCCGUCGCAUCCGGAACGAUAUGGACCAGUCUGAAGCUGGUGGAGCAACCAGACAAUGUUUGUUAUGCGCGGCUUAUGGGCAUAGGAUGAAAUAUUGUCCCGACCUGAACAAAGAUGGUGCUUCCGCAUCGACGAGUGCUUCCACAUCGACGGCUGCGACAACAGGAGCAAGAGGCGGACGUGGUCGUGGCAGUCGAGGCCGAAGGGGCGGACGAGAAAGAAAUAACUUAAAAGCUAUAUAAUGUGUCGUAGUGGGUUUUAGGCCUUCCACUAUGUGCCGGAUCCCAUACUUCUGAAAAGUAUGCCACGCAGGCAUCGAUGCCAAGUGAAAAACUUUUGGCACUGCUCUCACAGCGUGGGAUAGUUUGGCACUGCCUGCAGACUGACCCACAUGUACUAUAAACAAAGGAAAACAAGUCAAUCAACCAACUACCAGCGUCUUCCUCUCAUACGCAUGCCCAUUUUUUAUCGCAUGAAUGAAUUUGGCGCCGGAGCAAGUGCUUGCUCCGAUGCCCUGAAUUUUUUUUGGGGCACCGAGUUGGCAACGGAGGGCAUCGAUGCCAAAUGCAUGAAAUCUGAAUUUGGCACCUCUUUUGGCCUACAUAGUGGAGGGCCUUAAUAUGUAAUAUGUCACGACUAUGUUUUAAUAUGUAAUAUGUCAGGACUAUGUUUUAAUUUGUAAUAUGUCAGGAGUGUUUUAAUUUAUAAUAUGUCAGGACUAUGUUUUAAUAUGUAAUAUGUCAGGACUAUGUUUUAAUAUGUAAUAUGUCAGGACUAUGUUUUAAUUCGUAAUAUGUCAGGACUAUGUUAUAAUAACUCACGGAGGCAUGUUAUAAUAAAUGAUAAAUGUAAAUGCAAUUGAGGCUGGUGAGUUGUGCGAUUUUUUUUCAAAACUAUGAUACAUUAUAUAGCAUUUUCGAGAACUAUAGCACGUAAUGCAAAAAAACCAAAACUAGUAGCCCGUCGGCCAGGUGUUGGCCGAAGUGGCACUUUUCGGUCGCAGCUUGGCCGAAAUGGGCUUUUCGGCCCGCGGUUGACCGAAGACACGCCUAGCUGGGCCGAAAACCGGGCGUCGGUGGAAGUAUGGCCGAAAAUAGUAACUUCGGUCUGGGGCCGACCGAAGUGGGCCUUUUCGGCCAAGCAUCAGCCGAAAAGUGCCGGAUAAGGCACCGCGCGGCGUCUCCUUCCUCUCGCCUGUGUGCCUCUGUUCUUCUUUCUCUCUCUCGUUUCUUCUCUGUACCUCACCACCCCUAACUGAUCUCCUUCGUUUGCCACCCAUUUUCACAUCUAAGCCACUGAAUCGGUAGAUCGUAGCAAUCUCAAACGGCCUACGGUGUUUUUUUUGCUAUGGGAUAGUUUUCUGUGCGUUUGGGGAGGAGUAGCCAUGGUGGGGAGGAGGAGAUGCGGUUGGGCAGGAGGUGUUGAUGAGGAGGAGCAGGAGUUGUGGGGGAGCAGCAGCUGUGGAGGAGGAGGUGCAGCUUGGGGUGACUGGAGUUGAACCUCCGGUCGUCGAGGGGGCGGCGGUGGUGCUGUCGUUGUUCGGUGGUGCAAGCACCUCCGCUAAGGUAUAAUCAUCUCCUCACAAAUUUUCUUUGAGUUGCAUAGUUUAGUUAGCGUAGAUAAAUUAUAUUGCGAAUUGUAGUGUUAAUUUGUCCUUGUGAUGGCAUUUUAGCGGAGUAAUAAUUGUGUUAGUGUAGCAGAAUAAUAAUGAUUGUGUUAGUUUAGCGGAUAAUAAAAAUUGUGUUAGUGUUAAUUUGUAUGUGGUGGCAUUUUAGCGGAUUUUAGUUAGUGUAGCGGAUAAUAUUAGUGUUCGUCGUGAUUAAUGAGAAGAUGGCAAUGUCUGACAGGUGAAAAUGUCCGAAUCAGUAAAUCUGAAUGUUUACUACGGCGCUGGUAAUGUUCGAUAUAAUGAGUUGGGGGUUGAUCUUAGCGAGUUUAAAAAUGGCGUCAUGACACUAGCAGACCCGGACAGACUGGACAUUAGAUAAUUGAAGUACUUGUUGACAACUAGUUUCGGGCUGGAUCCUGAAGUAUGUUCCGCCAGUAUUCAUGCAUUGUGGACCAAAUCUUGUAAAAAUGUCAAGUGGGAGUUGAUGCCGGUAGAUAGGAGCCAGCAUUGGUUGUCCUUGUGAAGACGGUUUCCAGACCGAAGAAUCCACCCAUAUGCACUUGUGCAACCUGUGCCGAAGGAGGAGAAUAUCGUACAACUCCACAGGGGGUAUGUACCCGGCCAAGGCAGUGAAGUGGCUAACGAGAUUGUUUUAUCCGGGUCACAGCCACAAGAUGUGGAUGCUAGCCAACCCGAGAAAGAGUCAGACUACGUGCCACACAAUGUUUGUGGUCCUGAUACUGGGCAGAGUAGCCAGUCGAUAAUAUUAGCUGGUUUUGGUAUUGCUGAUGGGGAUGAGGAAGGGGAUGAAAUGCAGAGGGUGAUGGAGGAAGAGGACGAGGAUGGAUUUGUGGAGGAACUGGAUUCUGAAAAUUCUGAGGAUGAAGUGGAGGUACCGAUUCCUUCUGCAUGGGAGCAGGACAUAUCCACCGGCCUUACGGUCAACGAUGGCCAUGAGACUCCAUGGCAGUAUAAUCUGAACCAAGUACAGAUAGGGGCUAUGUUUGAUACAAAAAAAAAAUUGAAGUAUGCGGUGAUAAAGUGGGUUAUGUCUACGUAGAGGGUUUUCCAGACACACAUAUCAAGUCCAACAAACUAUACCGUGAAAUGUGUUGUAACAGGUUGUCCUGGGAAGGUGCACGGGCAUGUGCUGAAGUAUGACAUCCACUGGGUUGUCACCAUUGUCGUCCCACAUAAUUUUGUGAGGAAGAACCUGCUGGUCAAGCAUCCGAACCUGACUUCAAGUCUCAUUGCGCAACUCAUGUAUACUGAGAUAGUAGAGAAGAAAGACAUGGAAGCAAAACACAUCCAGACAGCAGUGAAGGUCAGAUGGAAUUAUGUCAUUCCUUAUGGGAAGGCUUGGAGGGCUAAGCAGAAGGCUAUGGAGGAAAGGUUUGGGGCGUUCUUUGACUCAUAUGAUAAUGUUGUCCGUCUCCUGGGCAUACUAAAGGAGAGGAAUCCCGGCACUUAUGUGAACGUACAACACAUGAGGUUGCUGAGUAUACCAGAUUUCAAGGUGUACAUGCAACAAACCGAAGUUGUUGCACCUACCUUGCUCUCAUGUGUUGGCUGUCUGUGGCCAGAUUGAGUUGGAUGCUAUAUCCUUCGUGUCCCCAUACUAUUUAAAAGAGGCAGUGCUCAACACCUGGACAAGCGAGAUGACAGGGUUUAGAGUCAUCGGCAAUUUUAACAAGGUAAACGACGGUGAGAGAGUAUACAUCCCGCAUCCAGACCUUCGGCGAACAAGUAGGGGCAGACGAAAGGCCCGUCGCAUCCGGAACGAUAUGGACCAGUCUGAAGCUGGUGGAGCAACCAGACAAUGUUUGUUAUGCGCGGCUUAUGGGCAUAGGAUGAAAUAUUGUCCCGACCUGAACAAAGAUGGUGCUUCCGCAUCGACGAGUGCUUCCACAUCGACGGCUGCGACAACAGGAGCAAGAGGCGGACGUGGUCGUGGCAGUCGAGGCCGAAGGGGCGGACGAGAAAGAAAUAACUUAAAAGCUAUAUAAUGUGUCGUAGUGGGUUUUAGGCCUUCCACUAUGUGCCGGAUCCCAUACUUCUGAAAAGUAUGCCACGCAGGCAUCGAUGCCAAGUGAAAAACUUUUGGCACUGCUCUCACAGCGUGGGAUAGUUUGGCACUGCCUGCAGACUGACCCACAUGUACUAUAAACAAAGGAAAACAAGUCAAUCAACCAACUACCAGCGUCUUCCUCUCAUACGCAUGCCCAUUUUUUAUCGCAUGAAUGAAUUUGGCGCCGGAGCAAGUGCUUGCUCCGAUGCCCUGAAAUUUUUUUGGGGCACCGAGUUGGCAACGGAGGGCAUCGAUGCCAAAUGCAUGAAAUCUGAAUUUGGCACCUCUUUUGGCCUACAUAGUGGAGGGCCUUAAUAUGUAAUAUGUCAGGACUAUGUUUUAAUAUGUAAUAUGUCAGGACUAUGUUUUAAUUUGUAAUAUGUCAGGAGUGUUUUAAUUUGUAAUAUGUCAGGACUAUGUUUUAAUAUGUAAUAUGUCAGGACUAUGUUUUAAUAUGUAAUAUGUCAGGACUAUGUUUUAAUAUGUAAUAUGUCAGGACUAUGUUUUAAUUCGUAAUAUGUCAGGACUAUGUUAUAAUAACUCAUGGAGGCAUGUUAUAAUAAAUGAUAAAUGUAAAUGCAAUUGAGGCUGGUGAGUUGUGCGAUUUUUUUUUCAAAACUAUGAUACAUUAUAUAGCAUUUUCGAGAACUAUAGCACGUAAUGCAAAAAACCAAAACUAGUAGCCCGUCGGCCAGGUGUUGGCCGAAGUGGCACUUUUCGGUCGCAGCUUGGCUGAAAUGGGCUUUUCGGCCCGCGGUUGACCGAAGACACGCCUAGCUGGGCCGAAAACCGGGCGUCGGUGGAAGUAUGGCCGAAAAUAGUAACUUCGAUCUGGGGCCGACCGAAGUGGGCCUUUUCGGCCAAGCAUCAGCCGAAAAGUGCCGGAUAAGGCACCGCGCGGCGUCUCCUUCCUCUCGCCUGUGUGCCUCUGUUCUUCUUUCUCUCUCUCGUUUCUUCUCUGUACCUCACCACCCCUAACUGAUCUCCUUCGUUUGCCACCCAUUUUCACAUCUAAGCCACUGAAUCGGUAGAUCGUAGCAAUCUCAAACGGCCUACGGUGUUUUUUUUGCUAUGGGAUAGUUUUCUGUGCGUUUGGGGAGGAGUAGCCAUGGUGGGGAGGAGGAGAUGCGGUUGGGCAGGAGGUGUUGAUGAGGAGGAGCAGGAGUUGUGGGGGAGCAGCAGUUGUGGAGGAGGAGGUGCAGCUUGGGGUGACUGGAGUUGAACCUCCGGUCGUCGAGGGGGCGGCGGUGGUGCUGUCGUUGUUCGGUGGUGCAAGCACCUCCGCUAAGGUAUAAUCAUCUCCUCACAAAUUUUCUUUGAGUUGCAUAGUUUAGUUAGCGUAGAUAAAUUAUAUUGCGAAUUGUAGUGUUAAUUUGUAUGUGGUGGCAUUUUAACAGUGUAGUAAUCGUUCUUGCAUUCUCAGCAGUCACUGAUGCUUACUGGUGGUGCUUCGUUCAUGCAUUUGUAUCAAUUUUACAUGUUUUACUUUACCGCAGGUGGCAACCGGUCGCAACUGUUCAUCCAUUCAGAGCAAUCACCGAUCCUUAGUGGUGGUGCUUCGUACUUUGAGGGCGACCGCGAGGAUGAUGACCAAGCUACAAACAUUUAUGGCUUCUCGCAGACAGUGUUUCACACUCCACCACCAUCACCGACGCAGGAGACACAGACCGUGACAGACGAGGUUAACUAUGGUCGUGGUUAUCGCGAGCCUCGUCCACCGCCUCAGCGCUUAUCGCCUUCCGGUCCUCGCCCGAGGAAGACCCAGACUCGUCGUCGUCCCCCGCAGUGAUAUGCUUAUCUAUCUAUGUAUGACUCAUUAUCUAUGUUAGUUUCAGACUAUUCGCAGCUGUGUGUCAGUAUUUAUGUAUGAGACAUGCUUCAUGUAUGUGUUACUAUCGCACUUGCUUCUAUGUGAUCAGGAGACAUAUAUUGUUUUAUGUAUGCGAGAGACAUAUUACUAUUAAUUCGCAUUCUUAUUCCAGUUACAUUUCCAAAUAGACUACAACCGAUAAUUAAGAUACAAGUACAACUGAAUUAAACGAUGCGGCUGAACUUGUGCAAUACAUCUUACAUACUACAAAAUGAAAUUCAGAUAGAACAUAAUGCCCUAGAAUAAUACAAUACAAACUAAUAAUGCAAAUACAUCUGAAUGAAACGGUACAACUGGAAUACAUCUUACAUAUUACAUGAAGUCAUCAUCGUCAUCCUCCGUUGAUGCAGCCCUCUUGCCCUUCGACGAUGCGGUCCUCUUGCCCUUCAUUGAUGCAGAACUCUUGCCCUUGGUCGAUGCAGAACUCUUGCCCUUCGAGGAUGCAGAACUCUUUCUUUUGGAUGAUGCAGAACUCUUGCCCUUCGACGAUGCAGAACCCGGAAGCGACGGCAUGAAGAUAUCAUCGUCGUCCUCGCUCUCCUCAGUCCAUAAAAAUGGAUGCUUUUCUGCAGUCCUUCUGAAAGUUUCACUCUUCGGCUCCACCACCUUCUUCCACCUUUCAUGCAACCUAAGAAGUUCUUUACGUACCUCCUCAUAGGUCCUUUCAGACCACCCAGACCUACGUAAUUCGUGAGCCAACUCAUUCAUUAUGGUGUCACUACCGGUGAGUUCGUCCCAUGGAACUAUCCUAUUGUCCAUCCUGAAAUCGGUAGCUAGACUCAGCAGAGUGCUGCUCAUCUCAGGGUGAAAACUACGAUCGAAUGGAUAAUGGGACAUCUCGACUACACUACACUGGAAUGCUUAUCCACCUCCGCCUGAAGGGGGUUUUAUAGAUACAGAGGAGAAAAUGACGGGAAAGAAUAACUGCGGUAUGGCGGGAAAGGGUUGGCGGGAAAAUAAGGCGGGAAGGGAUUGGCGGGAAGGGGUUGGCAGGAAAAUAAGGCGGGAAGGGAUUGGCGGGAAAGGGUUGGCGGGAAACGGGUGGCGGGAACAUAUGGCGGGAAGGGGUUGGCAGGAAACGGAUGGCGAGAAAAUACAUUUCAAUGUAUUGUAUGAGCCAUGCAACUUCGGCCUACAUGAGACCAAAAAGUAUUUUUCGGCCUAGACUUGACCAAAAAGUCUAUUUCGGCCAAGAUUUGACCAAAAUGUCCUACUUCAGCCUAUAUGUGGCCGAAAAGUCUUACUUCGGCCAAGAGAUGGCCGAAAACUCUAUUUCGGCCUAGCUGUGGCCGAAAAGUCCUACUUCGGUCCAGAGAUGGCCGACGGGCUACUACUUUUGAUUUUUAAGAAAAUCAUGCUAUAGUUUCCGAAAAUGCUAUAAAAUAUAUCAUAGUUUUGAACAUUGUUCACAGAAACACAAAACUGAAUUUAUAUACUUAGGCCUGCAUGAUUAUUUUCCUUCUGCAAGUUGACUACAGCUGUUGAUGCCUAUUGGGCUUAUUUAUAACAGUCCAAAUAUAUGACUUAAAACUUAGCAUUUUAUUUUGCUGUAAGAUUCCACUGUCCAGUAAAUAGUAGUGACAUUCGGUUCUAGGUACAGUAAGUAGUCUGACUGAACACUAAAGGAAUGGCGCUCUCCUGUCUUACCACCGACAUGGAGAAAACAUGGGGUGCAGCUUAGUUGGGCUUACUGUUCAUAUCCCCAUGAGUUUUCACCUUUUGUGUUUUGGUUGCACAUUCUUUUCGGGUUUACUUUUCUAGGAGGUGAGCCCUUUCCAGAAACCUGCAUCGUGUUGUGCCACAACAGUUUAUUGUUAUAUAACUUCUAACUUGCAGCUACAACUAUUUAGACUGUGUUUGAUAACAAAGUACUGCAAUAACCAAAGUAUUCAAAAACCGCAGUAUUUUAUUCUGUUGGCAUAAGAUACCACAGUAUUGGCAUAUCAAACUAUUUUAGAGUAUUGAUAAUACAGCGACUUGUUUGGCAGCGCCGUAUGCAGCGUUGUAAAAUGGGUUUUAAGUUAGCGCCUAGCUAGACGUUGCAUGCAUAAAUUGAACGGUGCUGCAUGGCCAUACACAAGGCUUGUAGCUUACCAUGGAGAACGUUCCGCAACACGACGUAGCCGACGACGCACAACGAAACUGUUUGGCCUUCUGCUGUGUCACCGUUGAGUCAUGAUGGUGCACCGUCGUAUCUACAGCUUGCUGCGAGCCGUCUCCAAUAGUGACUUCUCGUGCAUUGUCGUCUCGCCACACGCCGGUGCUUCUCUGCAUACUGCAGCCCCUUCAUCAUAACUGCGUUCCGUGGCUUCAGGGUGCCGGCAUUGGCAUUCGUCGUCAUGCCAGCCACGGAGCGGCACAGUGUCCAUGGGCAUAGUCUACGGCAAGGUACAUAUCACGUAGGUAGCCCAUGGGGUGCUACCCCUGCACGCAUAAAUGCACUUGUGGCUAAAUCAUGCGUGCUCAACUGGAUUAGUCCCUCGUGUUAGCUUCUAUUGUAGCCCUGUAGGUGAAAACAGGCAGCCUGCGGCAAGAGGCGGGAGGAUGAAGAUCAGCGUAUUCACUGUUAUUUUUCCUUUGUUGUCUCUUGAUUUAUCCGUGGCCGCCGAAGGUGAAGAUCUCCAGGGACUACAGGGCAGAGACGGCUUGCACUGUGGAAGAAGAUAACAACAGCCGUUUCUUUCGCGUGCUCUGUUUUAAAAAAAGAGGUCUGGAGUUUUUUAGACAGACAAAAUCCUACGGUUUUGAGAAUAACGCAACAUUAAUACUGCAGUUUUUCCGGGUAGCCAAACACCUCACAGUAAUUAAAACUGUAGUAUUUUAGAAAACUACAGUAUUGUCAGAAAACUUUAAAAAUAUUUUGCUAUCAAACGGGGCCUUAACAAGUAUCCACAUCUUACAAAGGAAAAGAGUAUCCAAAUCUUGCAAAGGAACGGAGUAUCCACAUCCAGUAUCUGACGUAUAAACUCAGUUGUUUCUCUACACUGGUCACAAAGCAGGAUGCCUAUGAUUUGGUGUUACCAGCAUGCUCCUUAUAGUUACGGUUCUGCUUUAGUUAUUUAUAAUAUACUAUUGCAGCUAAUAUUGUAUAUUCAGUUCCUAUGACUACAAGUAAAGUUCUGCUUUACUUAAUGUUUUUGCAAAGACUAUGACUAGAGAGUCUGACCAUAAUACGCUACAUGAAAUAAAAAUUGCAAGGGAAAUUUAAUGAGCAGUUGUCGGUCUUGGCAAUAGCAGGGACCUAAUUGAUCAAAUCGAAGGAGAAAGAGGUUGAAACGAGGGGAGGAGAUCACAGCAACCACCAGGAGGAAAUAUAUCUCAGUUUUUCAGGACCCACAAACCUUGAAAUUGAUGUAGUAGGAGGAUGCUGGUGCAUGUUUGGUUUUAGUGCGCCACCAAAAAAGCUUGCUGAUGGGAUGCAAAGGCUAAGGUAAUGAACUAUGUACUUGAGGUAGUAGACUAUGCUUAUUGUACUGCCUGCUAAAAUGAAAUGCCUAAGAUGCACUGUCCUAAAUUUUGAGGACAAUUUUGUCGUGCCUAAAUCCAAAAUGGUAGGCACACUGUUCUGAAUUUUUAUUGUCUUUGGCUAAAUGGAUGUUGGUUGUCUUCAGUAUGCCCAUUACAUGCUAGUUUUGUCACCGCUAACUCCUAUGAAACAUAUAAUUUAAUUCCUGAACCUUGCUANNNNNNNNNNNNNNNNNNNNNNNNNNNNNNNNNNNNNNNNNNNNNNNNNNNNNNNNNNNNNNNNNNNNNNNNNNNNNNNNNNNNNNNNNNNNNNNNNNNNNNNNNNNNNNNNNNNNNNNNNNNNNNNNNNNNNNNNNNNNNNNNNNNNNNNNNNNNNNNNNNNNNNNNNNNNNNNNNNNNNNNNNNNNNNNNNNNNNNNNNNNNNNNNNNNNNNNNNNNNNNNNNNNNNNNNNNNNNNNNNNNNNNNNNNNNNNNNNNNNNNNNNNNNNNNNNNGGGGGAUGCUGUGUCGUUUUCCACCGAAAUGUAUCAGUAUGAUCUGCUUUCAUGCCAAGUUGUGAUUCACAUAGGAUAGGAUUUCAAGGUAGGCGUGCAUUGAUCUGAAAUGUAGAGCACCGGAAGCAGCUUGAUUGAUUUUGGAUUAGUAGGUGCGCGUGCAGCCGCCUCUCAUGCAGGCGGAUGGGAUGUCGGGCCAGUCGCACGGACAGGCGACCUGCAGCCAGCGUGGGAGGGCUGGGCGAGUCACACUUGACAAGGCGGAGGCCGCUCAAUCUGGCGAGGCGGAGCGAGCCGGCUACAGGUUUGUCAUAAGUCGCUCCUCCCAUCCCUUCUUCCUCACGUUGCAGGUUUCAUCUUGAAAAUGCUAAUCAGAAAAUCACAGCAUGGCUCAAUGCUCCCAUGUAACUAUAUUUUCCCAUAUCUUAAGAGCAAUUUUCUAGUUGGGAUUUGCCGGCUUCACGGACAUGAACAUUGGCCAACCAAGCUGUCUUUCCACCAAGAAGAGCAUGUAGCCUCGAGCUCUGCUUGCUCCUUUUAUUUUAUUUCUGAGAAUUACUCCUCUUUUUACCUGCUGACUUUAUUCUUUUGUUAGUAAGAAAUCCAUGUUUUUUAAUGCGACUUAGAUAUGCUUCUUCUGGUCAUUGGUUGAUUUAGUUAGUGAAAUGCUGCACUGGCUUCUCUUUCUCUCAUUGCUUCAUGUCAUUAGUUAAAUUCACACCUUGAAGUUAGCUGUUCAUAGCUGCAGAAUUGCCAGAGUUUGCAAACUACUGGAAACAAUAUCAUAUGGAAAUUUUAUAUUGUCAUGGUUAUGUUUUGCCUCUGUUUUAUGUGUUUCUGUUUUCUGCUUGCCAUCUUGUUACAGAUUCUUUGUUAGUGCUCCUUUGUAUGUUGAGAUGCCCAGGACUUCUCUUGGCUGCACAUGCUUUUUGGGUUUUAUUUUGGUAUAGAGAGUGCUCCAGAUCAUGACCCUCUGUCUCGUUACUAUGAGGUGAUCCGUUUUGAAACCAGUACCUUCCAUCUGGUAUAGUCAACAUUUUGUUGUUUGACAACAAUUUAUGUUUAUAUAGUUUUAGAUGCCAGCUUCAGUGAUUUAACAAGCAUCCACAUCAUGCCAUGCGAGAGUGGUUCUUCUACACCCACUCUCGGUGCACCCACGCAAGAAAACAUAUCAAAAUAUUUUGAAAAAAUCUGAAACUUCGUGGAAAUGAUCAUCAACAAAUGUAAUGGGGCUUGCAAAAUGUGAUGGUCAAAUAACAUUCGAGGAGCUCUCUACAAAAAAAGACAAAAUCUCUGAAAAUUAGUCAAAAUGCACGUGCACUGUUUGAGCAGAUUUUGCAAUUUUGUCUUUUUUGUAGAGCGCUUCUCGAAUGUUAUUUGACCACCAAACUUUGCAAGCCCUCAUAACAUUUAUUGAUGAUCAUUUUCACAAAGUUUCAUAUUUUUUCUAAAUGUUUUGAUAUGUUUUCUUGCAUGGGUGCACCGAAAGUGGGUGCAGCCACUACUUUCCCCAUGCCAAAAGGGAGUAUCCAUAUCUAGUACUAUCUGAUAUAUAAAUGCACUUUUUUAUACUGUUCAUAAAACAGGAUACUUGUGAUUUGGUGUUAUCAGCAUGUUCCUUAUAGUUAGUCUGCUUUAGCAUCUUCCUUGUAUUUACUUCUGCUUUAGUUUUAUUCUACCGCAGCUGAAAUCGUAUAUUCAGUUCCUUGUAUUUACUUAAUGUUUUGCCAAAGACUGACUACAAAAUCCAACCACAAUAUGUUGUUGCAUGAAAUAAAAAGUGCAUGAUAGUAUAAAGUAGUUCUGUAAGAAAAAUAUAAUGAGCAAGUGCAGGUCUUAGGAAAAGCAGAGCCCAGGCGAUCAAACCAAAGGAGGAAGGAGGAUGGAAAUCAUAGCAACCACCAAGAAAAAUAUCUCUCGGUUUUCAUGUCCUGCCUACCUUGAAAUUGUUGUUGGCACAUGUUUGAUUUUAGUGCUUCGCUAAGACACUUGCUGAACUUGCAGAUGAGAUGCAAGGGUUGAGGUAAUGUGAGGUAGUAGUCUAUGCUUACUGUACUGCCUGCUAAAAUGUAGUAAUACUCCAUUUUGUGUUAGAUGCUAAGUUUUACUCCAUUUUUAUGAGCAGUGUCAAAGAAAAAGAGAUACUUCCUUCGUAAAGAAAUAUAAGAGCGUUUAGAUUUCUAAGAUAGUGAUCUAGACACUCUUAUAUUUCUUUACAGAGGGAGCACAUUGUUUGUUAGUAAAAAUUCCAAAAUGGAAAUAUAAAAAAUACAAUAAAAUACUUCCUUCCUCCCAAAAUAAGUGUCUUGAGCUUAGUACAAAUUUGUACUAGAGUUAGUACAAAGUUGAGACACUUAUUUUGGGACGGAGGGAGUAUAUGACAGAAAAUAAUUAAAUAAAAAUCGGGAGGCGACAACCCUCAAAAAAAAUGUGGAGGCGACAUAGGUAAAGUGAAUAAAAAUAAAACCAUGGAAAGGAGAGAAAAUGGAUUUAUUUUAGAACAAGGGAAGAGGAAUGGAUGAGAAAAAUGAACCCCUACCCGCAAAAGAAAAAAAGAGAAAAAUUAACCCCUGUCCAGUCCAGUUGAGCCCCACGCACGCACAAAGAGAUAAAGAAGUUGCGCCCAUUCUGAUAACCACGGGAAGAUUGGAUCAUUUGCCACAUUUUAUUUUGGGAGCUGAUGAUUUGUCCUGCUUUAGUUAGAGUUAGAUCAUUUGCCCCAUUUUUCUUUAAUCUUUUGAUCAUUUGCCCUAAUUUCUGUUUUAAUGAAUUCUUGAUUUGUUUAAUUCAGAAAAUUGUUGCGGAAUGACCUUUAUGCCCCUCUACCUGGUCGAACUAUGACCACUGUUCGUCAUGUUUUCUCUUCUCGUACGCUGGAAGCAGAGGAGGGGGCCGGGGUGCAAGCUGCAACCAGGGGCGCUGUUCCCGACACGGCGACUCGCCGUGUACUCUCCGGCAAAGCCGCAAAGGGCAAACACUACAUGCAAAGCUGACUCAACCGAUGCUUUUCAUAGGCAGGGCAAGUCAUGUAGAAGCUGGCUUUGAAGCAGCUAGGCAGCUGGAUGGAUUUUCUUGGGAGGCUACUCACGUAGCUCACGUACGUAUGCGACCCGCCGGCGGAGGAACGGACAGGACACUCACGCGAAAACACAGAACACCGAUCCAGUUAUCUUAUUUGUCUAAUCUGAUACUCCGUAUUUGGUUACAAGGGGAUACAUAGCAUGUACGUAGCAGCUAGCUUCACGUCCAAACCGGACAUGGACGCGUGGUUAAUUCCAACAGAGUUGCUGCUGGAGUGUACGGGAGCAGCGGCGGUGCUGACCUCGAGCUGGAGCUGGAGGUGGAGACGGGUGCAGCGUAAUCUCGAGCUGGAACAAGAGGCAGAUCAGUGAUGGCCUGAACGACGAUUCCGGUGACCAAGGUGACUACAGCGACUCGGGCGAGCAGGGCAUGGCACGGCAACUUCAACUCCAACUAACACAGGAACACAAGGACGGGAUACAAGUUGUGAAUGUAUUGAUUGAUCUGUUGGGGUCGUAUCAAGUAGAGAAGAUUAGGCAGAGAAAUUGCAAAACUGUCAUAGGGGCAUAAUUGCAAAACUAAUUAAGAAUUCAUUAAAACAGAAACAGGGGCAAAUGAUCUAACUCUAAGUGGUUGUUUGGAUAGAGAAUAUUAGCGCCGAGUUUUAGAAAAACAAGUUUUAAGCAGAUUUUUUGAUAAACCGGUAUUACUUAUUUUUUGGUGUAUAAUUUGUUUAACGAAAACUUUGUUUGAGUUAUGGAAGGUGUAAAAUCAGCGUACGCAGAUCCUUGUUUGAAGACCGCUCGCCUAUGGCUAUUCCUUGGCUUCUAGAAAAAAAAGUAUUUUCUAUUCUCCUACCCCUAAACUCGUGGCCUUCCCAAAGCUGGCCACUUUCCCCAAAUUGGCCGGACGGCAGCCUCCAAAUCGCCGAUUCGUCGUCGCCAUUGCCUCCUGCCACCACCACCACUUCUCGGCAGCUCGGCCUCUUUGUGUCAAGUUAAUCACUGCUCGUCCCCAGCUCGUCCAAGCCACAGCUCGCCUCUGCUCUCCCAUGGACGACACGGCGCACGUGCGACGCCGGCGAUCGAUUUCCCUCGAUGGCUAGGUCGCCGCCUCUACCUCCACUUCGUCGGCUCCUCCAUAGGCUUUGUACGGAUUUGGUAGUCAGCCCGCCGGAGCCCAAGAAGAAGCACAAGGACAUCGGUCUCGCCUGCGUCGUCGUCAAGCGCAAGCUCGUGGUGGAUGCUCUGCGCCGUCCUUGGCGCCUUCGUCCUCAUUGAUGUCUCUAUCAGCAUCAGCGUACUCCAUGGCCCGCCAUCCGUCAAGUACAUCGACGCUGUCAACAAGGUGCUCCAAUUCUUCAACUACAGAAAUGUGAGUACUACUUCACUUCACAGAGCCAAAAAGAUACCUGAUUGCGUAUGAAUGAUCUAUUAUCUUUGCACAUUCAGGCGCAUAUAGGCUAGUCAAUUGAUUCAUUCUUUAGCUUAGCCCAACACAUGGACGUUCACGCGCAUUUGUACGUUUUGAUCUCACCAGAAAUUAUGUGCACAGAGUAGUUAUCUAUUUCAGAUUUACAAAUUCAUUUUUCAGAUUGUUACUACCUUUACAAGGUUAGUAGCUUAGUCUUGUCCAUUUAGUUCAUCAAUCUCACAAACUAGAGAAGGCAUACAGAGCUUUUACUGAUUGCUUCAUUAGGUGAUUGGCAUAGAAUUAUUAUUUCAGCAGUGCUUUCAUCUGUAGCUGUAGAGACAGAGUGUGCUUGAAUAUAAAUAGAAUAGAAAGUUCCUGGGCCUACUAAGGAAUGAAAAGAUAUAAUGAUAACUAUGCAGUGUAUAUGCAUAUAAAGAUCGCAAUAAAAUAUUGCAGUGUUUAAUCAUCAUCAUCUUCUUCUUCUUCUUGCGUGGUACGUCGUUGAUGAUUAGUCCACAACUGUUGAGCGAUGCCUGCACGUAAUCGCUCACCAGCAACUCGAUCAUCUUCUUGUAAAUUUACGUGCCCUCUAACUUGUUGGUCACCUGUGUCAACAUUUCCUUCUAUACCCUCUUGUUCGAAAAGCUGAAACAACUCAUCAUCCCUAUCAACCUUCCUAAUGAAGUUAUGGAUGAUGCAACAAGCCAUAACAAUUUGGACCUGUUUUUUGUAAGGAUAAGGGAUUCCUCCAUUCCUGGUUAAUAUUGGAAAUCGGGCUUUUAGAACACCAAAAGUGCGUUCUACAACAUUCCGCAGUUGUGCAUGUAGAUGGUUGAACAGAUCUUUCUCACUACUAUACCGACGAUUAGUUCCACGGAAAGAACCAAUGUGAUAGCGAUCUCCACGGUAGGGGGCAAUAAAUCUUGGAGUAUUUGCGUAUCCCGAGUCAACAAGAUAAAAUUUACCUGCAUGUAAAGUUUGAUAUCACACUCAAAUUUUCUAUCAUAUAAUCAUAUGUUUGAGACAAUGAAGAUAAACUUUACUUGCAUGCAUGUAAAAUUCAUGUAUUUAAAAUUUUACCUUCUGGAACAACAAAGCCACCAUCAGUAACAGCCCACCGUAAAACGGCCUGAUCCGAUGCAGAACCUUCCCAUCCAGCAGCCACAUAUAAAAAUGACAUGUCAAAUGACACUACUGCCAUAACAUUUUGAGAUGGAUAACCAUGCCAAUUUCUAUAUGGAGUUUGCUUAUCAAGCUUGAUCUUUGCAUUAAUAUGUGUCCCAUCAAUUGCUCCGAUGCAGUUCUGUUGGUAAAAUUGUGAAUUAGAAUGUAAGGUUUAAACCAUUAUGCAAGUCAUUUGGAAAAGGAACAUGUUCUUGAGAUAGGAUAUAUACCUUGAAGUAUGGGCAGUACCUUUCAUCGGCCAAUAUUUUGGUUGGAACUUCAUUGGCCGGAUCAGUUAUGCAAACAUCACGCAAACCAUUUAUGGCUUUUAAAACUCUCUUGAAGUGUCGACUAAUUGUUUCUCCUGAAUGUUGAAAUAUAUCCUGGAGAACACGAUUCCUAACAUUAUGCCCAAUUGUAUGUAGAAAUAUCACUAGUUGUUCAUUCACAUCCAUCCGUUUUGUAUCCUUAAGUAAAUUCCUCUCGCACAAUGCAUCUCGCAGUAAGUAGAAGGUGUGCUUAUCAACGCGAAGUUGUUCAUAAAAUCUAACUGGAUGCCCUUCUAACCACUCUUUAGUUUUCUGAGCACCCGUUAAUUUGGAAGUACUACGUGGUGUUUUGAAUAGUCUUCCAAAUAGCACAUAUCGAAACAGUGACACUGCCGAAAUGUUAUGAAUAACCAUCUGCUCAGAAUCAGAAUAUUCUUCAUUUGCCAUAUCUUCCAUCACUCUCCUUUAACUGAUCGAUAGACUUUCUGUUAAAUGGCAGGACAAAAUCAUGUAAUGAGCGAGAGAACACCAUUGCAUCAUUGUUGUGUCAAACCAAUCAACGUAAAGGAAAUGUAUGCCAUCAAUUUUAUAUAUUCGGUUCUUUAUUGAUCUGAAGAACAUAAAUAUAUAUAACUCCAAAUAUCAAGAGUAGAAAUUUAUAAUUGGAUCUUAUAAUUAGCAAGCAACAGCAACCAAAUAAAUAUAUAAAAUUGCAACUGCCAUUGAUUGUUUGAACACAAAAUUACAGAAGGAUUAAUGAAAAAUUGCAAAUAUGACUUAAUCUCAAAGCUCAACGUACAUUACAAGAAAACAAAACUACGCAUUGUCAACCCAAAGAGAUCGAGUCUCUUCAUCCAUCUCCACGAAAAUCGCCCUUUUAUUGGCUUGUUCAAAUGCUUCUGCAGCUUUCAAUUUUUUAUUUGCCUCAAGUCCAGGCAUGCUAUUUAAUAUCUUCAUACAUGCUUUCACUGAGUAAGCUUCUAUCUGUUGUGCUGCAUUUUUCUUUGAUUCAGCGAUGAUGAGUGAUGCGUCCGCUAGGCGAUCAAUUGCGUUUAUAGCAUCAUUGGAUGAUCGCUUCUGUCCCUUUGGAGGUUCUUGUGAUCCACUUGCAUUGCACUUCUUCUUUUUCUCUGCCUUGGUGCUAUUAGGCUUUUUAGGACAAACAAUAGUGGGAUCAUUUAUUUCAUCGGAUUCUAGUUCUACCACCUCAUUUAGAUCAAUUUAUGCUUUAGUUGUUUCACCUUUCCCUUUGCUAGAUACAACACCGAGUCCGGAUGCAGUAGAGCUCGCACAUAUGUCUUGCAGGUCUAUCCAACUAGGCCACACUUUAUCUCGGUAUUCUUGAAUAUUCUUAUCCUUCUGCGGUUUGUAAGUUCAUUGUUAGUCUAUUGGUCAAGUGUAUGAUAUGGCAAUUAUAUAAAAGUUACUAUUCUUAAACUUACCAAAAUGAGUUCUGCCCAUUUUUCUUCUGGAGCUUUGAUCAUUUUGUCAUCGUCAUCCCAACCAAAUCCUGUGUAACGCCCCCGAUGCGGCUAUAGCUCCCACGUGUCGAGGCACGACUUAGAGACAUAACCGCAUUGAAAGCAAUGUCGCAAGUUAGGCAAUCAUCACAACAUCCCAUGUAAUAUAUAAUAAAAGGGGAGAUACAAUAGUUGGCUUACACUCGCCACAUCACAUCAAAGUACAUAAAUAACAUACAUCAUCCAAACACUCAUGGCCCGACUACGGCGCCAAAAUAAAAGACAACCCAACAAGCGACAUAGGUCCCGAUCACCCCAACUGGGCACCACUACUGAUCAUCAGGAAAAGACACAUAGUAACGCUGAGAAUCCUCGUCGUACUCCCACUUGAGCUCAAGCGCGCCAUCUGGAGCUGUAUCCUCUGUCCCUGCAUCUGAUGUAAUAGUAAUCUGUGAGCCACAGGGACUCAGCAAUCUCGCUCCCUCGCGAUCAAGACUAUUUAAGCUUAAUAGGUAGGAAGGGGGGUAAAUGUAAGUGGAGCUGCAGCAAGCGACUAGCAUAUAUGGUGGCUAACUUAUUCGCAAAAGAGAGCGAGAAGAGGAGGCAAUGCGCGAGCGAAAAACUAGAGAGCAACCUGCGCAAACAUAACUCCAACACCGUGUCCACUUCCCGGACUCCGCCGAGAAGAGGCCAUCACGGUAACACACUCAGUUGUUUCAUUUUAAUUAAUUAAGGUUCAAGUUAUCUACAACCGGACAUUAACAAAUUCCCAUCUGCACAUAACCGCGGGCACGACUUUCGAAAGAUCAAUCCCUGCAGGGGGUCCCAACUUAGCCCAUAACAAGCUCUCACGGUCAACGAAGGAAUAGACCUCCACCCAAGACACACCGAUCAGACUCGGUAUCUCGGUACAACAAGACGAUUCGACAGGUUAAAACAAGUCCAGCAACACCGCCCGAAUGUGCCGACAAAUCCCGAUAGGAGCUGCACAUAUCUCGUUCUCAGGGCACACUCAGAUGAGCAGUCCGUACAACUAAAACCAGCCCUUGAGUUUCCCCGAGGUGGCGCUGCAAGGGGCUCUGGUUCGGACCAACACUCAAAGGAGCACUGGCCCGCGGGGGGCUAAAAUAAAGAUGACCCUCGGGCUCCGGAAACCCAAGGGAAAAAGGGGCUAGGUGGCAAAUAGUAAAACCAAUGUUGGGCAUUGCUGGAAAAGCUUUAAUCAAGGCGAACUAUCAAGGGGUUCCCAUUAUAGCCCAACCGCGUAAGGGACGCAAAAUCCGGAAACAUAACACCGAUAUGACGGAAAACUAGGGCGGCAAGAGUGGAACAAAACACUAGGCGAGAGGCCGAGCCUUCCACCCUUUACCAAGUAUAUAGAUGCAUUAAGAUAACAUGGCAAUAUAAUGAUAUCCCAACAAGUAAAUAAAUGUUCCAACAAGGAACAGCUCCAAUCUUCACCUGCAACUAACAACGCUAUAAGAGGGGCUGAGCAAAGCGGUAACCUAGUCAAUCAACGGUUUGCUAGGACAAUGGUGGGUUAGAGGUUUGACAUGGCAAUUGGGAGUCUGACAAGCAAGUGGUAGGCAUCGUAGCAUUGGCAUAGCAAAAGAGCGAGCAAACUAGCAUAGCAAAGAUAGUAGUGAUUUCGAGGGUAUGAUCAUCUUGCCUGCACAGUUGUCAGAGUUGACUGGAUCCUCACAAGCAAACUCAACGGGCUCCUCGUUAGCGAACUCGUCUCCCAGCUCUACCAAACAACACAAACAAGCAACAAAAAUACAAUCAACCACGUGCAAGCUCCAACAAUAAGAUGCAAUGAUGAUAUGCUAUGCGGGAUGCGAUGCGGGAUGCAAAAUGCAAGACGCGACAGAAAAUGCAUGAACCUGGCCUCAACUUGGAAAACCAAGUGUGCCACUGGAUAGAGGGGAUGAAAUCGCUUGAAAACGAUAUAAAGAUCAUUGGAAUCGGAGUUACGGUUUGAAAAUGGCAAGCGAUUUAAGAUAUGACACCGGUCUGCGAUUUACAGCAAGUAGGCAUCUAAAUGCAACGAAAUGAACAUGCUACAGCCACCAAACAUGACAACAAAAUACAUGGCAGGGAUGCCCACAAGAUGCUUAACAAAACACUAGCACUGAGUCACGGCAAAAUUCAUCCAUUAUGAGGUUCAAACAAGCAUGGCAAAAACGCAAAUGCAAAACAGAUUUCAGACUUAGUGAAAUUAACACUAGUCUGAAAUUUCAGAUCACGAAGCUCUUUUCGGAGCAGCAAAACAACAUGAUACAUGAUCUGAUUAUGACAAGUAAGAACAUGGCAUGGAGCUACUCAACAAGCUUAUCAAAAGUCCCAAAAUGACCUGGGGUCAAAAGGGAUCACAAAAUAUACUAACAAGCACACGAACAUAGCUCACGCACAAUCAAUUUUCAGACUUGGUGAAAACUGGGACAUGCUAAAAUAUAACUCACGAAGGCAUGUAAACGAGCUCGAUGCACUCACUACGGUGCAAGUCAUGGCAAGGCAAGCAUAUAUCCACUAAGAAGGCACAAAAUGCUAGCUAGACAUGGCAAGAACAAUGGCAUAGCAUGCACGGAUCAAUAACGAUAGCAUCGGCAAAAUCGCAAACAAGUUGACGAUCUGUCCAGAUUUACCACGAAGCAAAAGUAGAGCUUGAUUGACUCAAGCUAGAGUACUCCACAUAUGCAAACAAAGACAUGGAUGGAUAGAGCAUAACAUGAUUAACAAAACUCCCUUAUUGAUCAUCCUCAAAAGAGGCAUGGAUCACUAGGAAACAAGCUGAACAUAUGGCAUCACGAACUAAAUAAUCACAGGCUUAGUGAAAUCCACUAAGUCCCUGAAAACAGAUCUACCAAGUGCCUCACUUUGCAAGCUUGCACAAGUCACCACACAUAUCCUAAAAAUGCAUGGGUUGCACCUCUGGAAAGAAGACAAAAUGCUUAACAAUUCAUAUCAAGGACUCACAGGCAUAGCAGGCACACAAUAAUCAUGGCAAAAAUGACAAAAGUCUAAGAUGAACUAGCAGAUCUGACAAUUAUCUCACGAAGCCUCCUUCUAGCAACAUUUCGGGUAUCAAGAUGAACUCAAAUGAAAAUGAUGCAAUGGAAUGAAAUGAUGUACAUGUCGAGGCGAACAUUUUGAUAUACUAUAAGUCCAAAAUGGAGCUACGGAUGCAAAGAUAUGGCAGGUCAAAGAUUGCUCGAAAAAUUAGGGUUUCGGGAGGAGAAGUCAACCGUAAUUGCUCAGAUCUAGAUCCGGAUCCGGCUGCACUGUUCACGGCGCGUUCUUCGAGGUUCAUCGGCGCCGUUCGCCGGAGAGGAAGGAGAGGGCCGGCGGGGCCGGACCGAAGUGGCGGCGGAGAAGAGGCGGCGGGGUCCGGCGAGGGCGGUGCCGGAGUCGGCCGGCGCGGCAGCCGGGCGUGGUGGCGACGGGGAAUGGCGGCGAGCUGCGGUGGUCGGCGGCGACCGAAUGCGGCGGCCGGCGUCAAGGCGGAGGGAGGCGGCCGGCGUCGGGGCGCGCGCGAGGUGGCGCNNNNNNNNNNNNNNNNNNNNNNNNNNNNNNNNNNNNNNNNNNNNNNNNNNNNNNNNNNNNNNNNNNNNNNNNNNNNNNNNNNNNNNNNNNNNNNNNNNNNNNNNNNNNNNNNNNNNNNNNNNNNNNNNNNNNNNNNNNNNNNNNNNNNNNNNNNNNNNNNNNNNNNNNNNNNNNNNNNNNNNNNNNNNNNNNNNNNNNNNNNNNNNNNNNNNNNNNNNNNNNNNNNNNNNNNNNNNNNNNNNNNNNNNNNNNNNNNNNNNNNNNNNNNNNNNNNNNNNNNNNNNNNNNNNNNNNNNNNNNNNNNNNNNNNNNNNNNNNNNNNNNNNNNNNNNNNNNNNNNNNNNNNNNNNNNNNNNNNNNNNNNNNNNNNNNNNNNNNNNNNNNNNNNNNNNNNNNNNNNNNNNNNNNNNNNNNNNNNNNNNNNNNNNNNNNNNNNNNNNNNNNNNNNNNNNNNNNNNNNNNNNNNNNNNNNNNNNNNNNNNNNNNNNNNNNNNNNNNNNNNNNNNNNNNNNNNNNNNNNNNNNNNNNNNNNNNUAAGUGGAGCUAGGGGAGUCCAAAUGAGGUGCGGUUUUCGGCCACGCGAUCGUGAUCGAACGCUCUAGGACAUGGAGCAGAGUUUGGUGGGUUUUGGGCCAAAUUGGAGGGGUGUUUGGGCUGCAACACACAUGAGGCCUUUUCGGUCCCUCGGUUAACCGUUGGAGUAUCAAACGAAGUCCAAAUGGUACGAAACUUGACAGGCGGUCUACCGGUAGUAAACCAAGCCCGCAUGGCAAGUCUCGGUCCAAUCCGGAAAUAUUUAAUCCCCACACACGAAAGAAAGCUAGAAUUGACCACCGGAGGAGAACGAAGCGCCGGAAUGCAAAACGGACAACGGGGAAAAUGCUCGAAUGCAUGAGAUGAACAUGUAUGCAAAUGCAAUGCACAUGAUGACAUGAUAUGAGAUGCAUGAAAACGAAAACAACACACGAAGACAAAGACCCGAACCCGAGAAAUAAAUAUAACUUAACGCCGAAAACGGCAAGAGUUGGAGUACAAAUUGGGAAAGUUAUAUCUGGGGCGUUACAUCAUGUGUGCUUUAGAAGUCUGUCCAUGGUAGCAUAACAACUCCUGUAGUAUUUAUGGCGAUUUUUUAUUUGUUGCAACUCAAGUUUGUCUACCUUGGACUCAUUGAACUUUUCUAGGAUUUCACGCCAUGCUUUUUUGUGUAUCCUGUUCCUUUCUUCCCUCCAUUUAAAGUUUGAUCUUUUAGUAUGUUCAGCAAUACUUUGUCCUCUGAAGAUUUCCAUGUGUGGCGCUUUGUGACCUGCUUAUCGGUCUUUUCCUUCUUAAUGCUUUUGAUUUGGUCAUCCAUAUUUUCCUAAAGGGAAAUAAAGCAACAAAAUGAUUACUAGUUAAAUCAUUUAAGUUACACAAAUACUGCAAUCUUUGUUACCUUUGGCACCAAUUAUGAUCUAAGGAAAUUAUCAUGAAGGGUAUUCCAUCUACAAGGAUUGCCUAUAUUGUAGUAAAAACUAAGACAUGACAAUUUACAUAUGUGACUAAUCUAUAGGGAAUAAUUGUCUAUUCAUCACUCAAAUAAACACACAGCUGCUACAGAUUUAAAUUUCAAUUUCGUAGUUGCAUUCAUGUCCUGAAAGCAUGAACCUUCUUCCUACAGAUUUGAGUAUGCUGAUCAGUUUCUGAUUAUGGACCUUACCUGUAGGAUGACGAAUCUGCAGAUUGAUCUCUGGUGAUGGAAACAAGUUGGGGAAGAGAGAUCCCUUCUCUUCCCAGCAGCGGCCAGCUGCCAGUUGGUGAUCCCAGCCUAACACCGGCGGCCAGGGAAUUGGCGAUCACAGCAGGGGUUAGCGGCUAGCCAUUGAACUAGGUUUCCAGAUCUUUUUUUGCUGAUGUUUGUUGUGUCGCCAUCCAGUUUAUAUAGAUGCGAUGGAAAAAAUGGCGCCUAGAACUGGCUGCGGGAGGGAAGAAUUGGCGCCAAUAAGUUUGUUGAGGAAGGAGCGGAGAGGAAAAUGUCUGUUACGGAGAGUUUUAUAUAAUCUUGUUUUCUCAAAAACGAGUAUUAGUCGUUUUUGAUAAAACGUAGUUUCCUGGCUUUGUGGAAACAUAAUUUAAGUUAUCCAUGAUUUUGUUGAAGGGCCCAAAUAUGAUUUUAGUUUGUUGGGCGGUUAUAUGGGUCCACAGAAAACUAGUUUGGCUAAUCCAUCGUAUCCAAACAAGGCCUAACUAAAGCAGGGCAAAUCAUCAACUCCCUAAAUAAAGUGUGGCAAAUGAUCCAAUCUCCCGAUAACCGGGACCGCGACACCCAGGGGCAGAGCUGCCAUUGCAAUCCAUCGGAGAUAUCUCCGCCGCCGCCGUCCCCACCGCCGCUUCCGCGCCAUGCUCCGCCUCCGAGAGUGCGUCGUUUCCCUUCUCCUCUCUUCUCCAUCCACCUCUGCAAUCUUCCCACUCCGCCGCUUCCUCUCGGCCACCGCGUCGGCCCCCAUUCCCCCAAAUCCCAGUGGCUUCGCCGUGGAGGAGUACCUCGUCGCCGCCUGCGGCCUCACCCGGGCCCAAGCCAUCAAGGCCUCCCCGAAGCUCGCCCACCUCAAGUCGCCCGCCAAUCCCGACGCCGUGCUCGCCUUCCUCUCCGGCCUCGGCCUCUCCGGCGCCGACGCCGCCGCCGCCGUCGCCAAAGACCCGCGGCUACUCUGCGCCAAAGUGGACAAAACCCUGGCCCCUAAGGCCGUCGGGCUCGCCGGCAUAGGCCUCUCGCGCCCUGAGAUCGCCCGCCUCGUCUCCCUCGGCCCCGAGUGCUUCCGCUCCAGACACAUCGUCUCCAAGCUGCAGUACUACCAUCCCCUCUUCGGCUCCUUCCACAACUUCCUCCGGGCGUACGAGCGCUCCUCCUAUCUUCUCUCGCGGGACCUUGAUAAGAUUAUCAAGCCCAAUGUCGCGUUCCUGCACGAGUGCGGGCUAGCUGCUUGUGAUAUUGUCGAGCUGGUCAUGUACAGGCGGGGGAUCCUGACCACCAACCCGGGGCGCCUCCGGGCGAUGGUGGCAUGCGCCGAAGGUAUAGGCGUGCCCCGUGGCUCUGGGAUGUUCAGACAAGCGCUGUAUGCUGUCGCAUUCCAAAGCGAGGAGAAGAUUGCCGCCAAAGUGGACUACUUGAAGACCACGCUCAGGUGGUCUGCUGCUGAGGUGGGCAUCGCUGUGUCUAAGGCUCCGAUGCUGCUGAGGAGGUCAAAGGACACGCUGCGGAGCAAGUCCGAGUUCCUGGUGUCUGAGGUGGGGUUGGAACCAACGCUCAUUGCUCAUCGCCCGAUAGUGCUCACUUACAGCCUGGAGGGCCGGCUCAGGCCCCGGCACUACCUUCUAAAGUUUGUCAAGGCAAAUGGGUUGCUAGAUCGUGAUCACAGCUACAUCUGCGCGGUCGGUUUGACGGAGAAUGUUUUCGUGAAGAAGUUUGUGUGCCCUCACAUCGAAGCUGCGCCGCACCUUGCUGAAGACUAUGUGGCUGCUUGCCGAGGAGAGGUACCCACUAGGUUCAUAUUUGAUUGAACCAGGAUCCUGCUGUUAAAAUGUGUAACUGUGUAUGGCACAGCAAAGUUUACAUUCUGUGCAGUAAGCUGGUUAGUCCCCUUCCUGUGUUGUUCGCCAAAACAGACAGACGCUUGUUAUCCUCUCUAAAAUGGCAGUUCAGUCUUCAAUAAUUAGAUUCUGAUUUUUUGUAUGCUUAUUAUGCCUUUUGGUUUCUUUCACCUUAUUCUUGAUGAUGGAUUAUCUUUGUUCCCAAGUCCUGUAGGCUGUAGAUGGCCUUGCUAUCGCUGGGUUUUUUUCUUCCAAAUUUGAUAAAGUAACCCACUAAAGCAUGACCAACAGAUUAGUCUAAACCAUUAACAUCUGUCAUUAAUUGUGGAACUAAGCCAGUGAAGAUGGCAUGAAUCGGUCUUGUCAGAGUCUACUAUUCAGUGCUUGCAUAUGUGAUAUUACAGCUGUUCACAAAACUGCAUCUAUCUUUUCACAACAAAACUGUCGAUGAACUGUAGAUUCAGAAAUCAGUUUGCCAUAGUUCAAAACUAUCUGCCUCGUGUGACUCAAAUCAAAGUUGUUCGAUAUCAUGAAAUAAGCAACAUGCUUUUUGUCAAACCAUAUUCUAAAUUUGCAAUUUGCAAACUGGAUUUCUGUUUCUCAUGCUCUGUCUUUUCAAUUUUCAUCAGAACUUAGGGCCAUAAUUAAUAGAAGGUGCAAUCUCUAUUUUAUCAAUAAUUUCCUUUACCACACCCGCGUGUAUGGCAUGAGUUCUUAUGGUUUCAGAGCACUCUGUCUGGGCUUAACUAAUUCUGUUGAAAAAACACUUCCUUAUUAUCCUAAAAUACAUAGGUGAUUACUGAAGUUCAAGAGAAACAUCCCUUUCAUUGUUUCCGGAUGAUGUGGCAAAGCCCUUCAUGGGGUUCAAGGGAAACAUGCAACAUAUGUGGUGCCUUAUGUAAGCUAAGCUGGGCGUAAUUAUUCUCUAGGUAUUCCAUUACACUUUCUUAAUAUGAUAUUGAUAUAGCCAUGAUGGCUCCUCUGUUCCCUUUGUCAGUUUCGCAUACAUUAGUUGCCCACUAGCUUCUUAGCAGCAGUUUAGCUUUGUUUGCAGUUAUAUAUGCCUGUGAGCUGCAGCAACCAUCGUGUCCCACAAAUUGUUUCUAUGCAAUGCUAAUUCCUUUAUCGCGCAAUUUUUGGGUACUCAGCUUUUUAUUUCAGACCUACAUUCAGUCAGUCAUCCAUUAGCAGUUUAGUACUGUGAAGCACCUAGAUUGUUUGUCGACAUCUCAUUUACUUACAGAAGAUGGAAAUUAUCCAUGUGCCUCCACAUACUUUUUCUUGCAUAAUUUUGUUGGCUUCUAUAAAUGGUCUUGCUGGCGCACCAAUGCCUGAUUAAUUGUAUUGGUUUCUGCUCAAGUGCCAUAAUGCAAUCUUCUGUCUUUGAUUGUAAACUCCGGUUUGGUGUUUUUAGUUGCAUGGUUCAGUGAAACAGGGUUAGGUUUGCCCCUACAAAAAAAAAAGGAAAAAUCAGUGGAAAAGUAGAAUGCACAUCGCAGUAGGAAGCCUGCCGCUGAAGAAUAUUGCACUUCAUAUAUCUAUAUAGGCGAGGAUAUGAAUAAUCAGCCUUCUCUUUGAAUUUGUGGCAGCCAGAUACUAUCCAGGGACAUCUGUAUCUGCUGCAGAGUCAUGUUCAGGGUUCUGUUGCAAACAUUCAUACAUGGAUGGAUAUGAGAAGCUGACUAUAUUCUGUUUGGUGUCCCUAUUCUUUAGUGGCAUAGCUUAAAAGUUAUCUGCCUUAACUCAAGAGAAAGUUGUUCGAUAUCAUGAAAUAAGUCAUAUGCCUUUUGUCAAACCAUAUUUUAAAUUUGCAAGCUAGAUUUUUGUUCUGCUGUUUUCUCAUGCUUUGGCUUUUAAAACUUAAUUGUGACUUAGGGCCAUAGUAAGGUGCAAUCUCAGCCAUUUUUUCAUAUGCUUCAGCUUAGACUCUUCAGAGACAGAGCCGGAGCCAAAGCUAUUUUAUCAAUAUUUCCUGCACCACACCAGCAUAUGUAUGACAUGAGUUCUUAUGUUUUCAGAGCAUCGGGACUGAGCUUAAAUAAUUCUGUUGAAAAAUCACUUUCUUCUCUUAAAAUAGAUCAGUGAUUACUGGAGUUUAAGAGAAAAGUUAUUUUGUGCCUUCAUGGGAUUCCUGGGAAACAUGCUACAUAUGUUGCGCCUUCUGUAAGCUAAGCUGGGAUAUUGAAGUAAUUUUGCAUUAGGUAUUCCUUUAUAUUUUCUUUAUAUGAUGUUGAUCUAGCCAUGAUGGCUUCUCUGCAGUGUUUGGUUUUCUCAGAACAAAAUUCCUUGUCCUAAACAAAAUAGUAGACGUGUGUGUGAGGUUCCUUCAUCGGUUUCACAAACAUUACUUGCCCAGUAGCUUCUCAUCAGCGGCUUAGCUUUAUUUGCGGAUAUAUGCUCGCAGGCUGCAACAACCAUCAUGCCCCGCAAAAUUGUUUCUAUGCAAUGCUAAUUUUGUUUUUGUUGCUCAGUUUGAGAGUACUCAUCUGAUGACAUUUUUUGUGCAUCAACUUUUGAGUUUCUGUUGUGAGAACUAGUUUUAUUUGUGGAUAUUAUUGCACGCUUAAUAUCCAUUCUGUCUCACACUUGUGAUAUGAAGAAAAACCUUGGAGAGCUGCACAUGAACAGCUGCUGGCCUUAUAUGGUGUGUGCUAAGGCGGGUCCUCUCCGAACAUCUGGAGGGAGUACUUUGAAAAAUGAAGACAAAGUCAGAAACUGUGUCAGGCAGUCAGUUAACUAAUCCAUUGAGGUUAACUUGAAUCUCUAUGUAAAUAGAAUAUGUGGUGCAAUGAUAAAAAACACGAUCAGCGAAAAUAAUCGUGACAAAAUUUGAUAAUUUUGCUAGAUUGUGGGCUUUAUAGUUAAAAUUAUGCAGCUCAUGAAUGAAGGUGCAGGUUGUAAAGGACUUGUAUCGCCAUUCAAUCUCGCUGAUCAUGUCACUGUAUAAUUCCUCAGGUUGCGCCGAAAAAAUGGCCCAGUCGCGACCCCAGGAGCCCGUUUUCCGCCGGAUUGGGCCGAAAUUGACGCCGGUGUACCCAACUCGAACCCGGCGCGUUGGGGGUCGCCUGGGGCGCCGGACGGAGCGUUUUUGGCGCGAACUGUGAUGGGCCCGCCCUGUCAGCGACGCGCCGCUUCGGCGUCCAGAUCGCCUCGUUUCCUGCGGGAAUCAAUGCCAACUGACGCGCUGCCGCACCGUCGCCUCCAUUGAUGCCGCGCCUGGCGCGAUGCAGCACGCUGGUCAGCAUGCCCAUUGAUGCCGCGCAGUGAAGCGUCGCGUCGCCCAGCGCCACGGCCGCCCGCCACGCGUCGCCUGGCAUGCGCCUCCGCCACCCUUGCUCCGGCUAUAAAAGCCGGACUCCUCGCCGGUGAAUGCCGCACCGCAGCAAAAAAUCGCCCCCCCUCCCCCCCGCUCGCAAACUCCACACGCCCGCCGACGAGCAAUGGCAGCGCGGUACCCAGGCGACUCCGCGACGAAGAAUGGCUUCGGCCGCCGCCACCUCCACGAGUGGGAGGCGCGCCUCCUUUUUGAGGCCGACUACCCGGCUCCUCCGGACAUGAGGGUGCCGGGCGCGUAGCGCUUGAGCGCCGGCGGCGUGCUGGUGCCACCCGCUCCCACCGGGGCGGACAGGCGGGCAGAGAUCGCCCGCGUUAGGUCGUCGCUGACGGAGGAGCAGCGGCGAACGCCGUCGUACUCCCCCGACAACGACGCAUUAUGGACGAUCUACUUCGACCGUCGCCGUGACGGCCUGAUCGCCUCCACCAACGGCGUCGUGCCUCGCGGCCGCCACAACGCCGGAGGGCGGCGCGAGUGGUGGGGGGUGCCCAGCCGCACCCUCGAGAACGUUGUCAGGACCCCGAUUCUAAGCCACAUCGAUCUAGCCGGUAACACCUCAUAUCACUUUGCGGCCUCACGCACGGUAUCCCACGGGUGUCGCCUUACCAUGGCCCGGGACCGUUUGCGCCUUUUGGCUCACGUAUAUGACAAUGUCGCUAGCAUCCAUAUGACCGAGAACCCGGGCCGACAUGGCUAGUCGUGAACCCAAAGCGGCACAGACCUAUGGAGACAGGCAUACAUGAAUCACAACGAACAUGUCGGUCAUCAACGAGUGAUUCCGGGCUGUAGCACUGGGCUAGCAGGACUCCGGGGAAUCCCGGGCUGUAGCAGGCUAGACAGGACUCCGGAGAUCACCGCGUGACAUUUCCCCGAAGGGACAGACAUAGGGACGAAGUGAAACACAUGCCGGCCAGUCAAGUGUCCUGAACAGUAGUGCUGGGCUAGCAGGACUCCGGUGAACCGGGCUGUAGCGGACUACUAUGGCUCGAGGAGCACUAGACUACAUUUCCCCAUAAGAAAGGCUGCGAAGGGCAAACAACUAGAUUGUCGGAUCCCACUCAUACCAAGCAUUUCAAACAUACAUACAAUAUGCUCGAUAUGGGUACAUACAACAUGGUAUCACAACAAAACUCUACAACUCAAGUACUUUAUUUAAAGGCUCCAGGGAGCCAUACAUAACAUAUCCAUACAGGUAGGGGUCACAUGACCCGACACUCAAGUCAUACAGUCAUACAAGCACAUGCGGAAGCAACUAGUCUGAGUACAGACUCUAGAAAGAAAGAAGGCUUCUCGAAGCCUGUCUAUCUACAUAGGGCCCUCCAUGGCCUGGAUCACCACCUGGGUGUCUAGUCACUCGUCGACGUCAAGAUCUACGUAAAACCCAUCGGAGGGGGGCAGUGUUGUCGUCUGAAAACAAUAAAUAAGCAAACAUGAGUACAAAGGUACUCAGCAAGUCUUACAUCAGAACCUACUGUACAUGCUCAUUCUCAAGAAGGUGGUGGGGUUUAUGCAGCAAGCCAGCUUUGACUCUUGGCUAAGCUAUCCUACGGAAUCUUUUAGCAAAAUAGUUUUCGCACACGAGUCCACUACUCACCAUCACAAUACUCCACCGAGGAUCCUCCCUCGUAUCCUGUGAAGGGGGCCAUCCCCGGUACUCACACUUAUCUUGAGUCUUUUAGUAGUAUCCAUUAACUUGUCUAUGAACUGUAUAUGCAAUCAAGUAGUCCUUUACCGCGGACGCGGCUAUUCGAAUAGUUUUAUACCCUGCAGGGGUGUACUUCGUCAUACACGCUUUCACCGCUUACCGUCGUCUACAUGACAUGUACUCGGCUACCUUCAAGCGGAAGCCCAGCGAGGGUGUCGGCCAUGGCCUACCUAAUCACCUAAGCCCCUAGUCCAGGUUAUCGCCUAUCCAGGUUCCAUCCGCAGGGAGUCCGGCCGAGGUUUCCACAUACGGCCCCGAACGAUGUGAACAGGGUUCCCGAGACACCAAACGGGUGACUCGGUACACCGUGCCACGGUGUAUCUACCGCAACAUAGCCCACCCCUAGGGUCAGCGCUACGCACGGCCGCCAACACAUAUCCUACAAGCACGAGAAACUAUUUGCAACUCCUGGACAGAGUACUAGGGUAGCUAAGAAGCCGAGAGGGUCCAUUUGUUUCGGGCCCAAUGUACGGUAGUAACUGCAUCUUAAAUCACACAUUCAGAUCUCGGUUCUUAUGGACGGCCUCAAUGAAACAACCCACCAUGUACUCCUACAUGGCCUCUCAUCGAUACCUUUACCAAAACAUGUUCAACACAUCCCUCAUAUUACUGGCACAAGCAUUUCACUCUAGCCCAUCACCCAGAUGAACCAGACCUGACACAACUCUAGGCAUAGCAGGCAUAGCAAGGUAGGAAUCACAAAACAUGGCUCAAUCAACUCCUACACAUGCUAGUGGGUUUCAUCUAGUUACUGUGGCAAUGACAGGUCAUGCAGAGGAUAAGGGUUCAACUACCGUAGCACACAGCAGUUUGAAACGUGUUGACUUAAUGCAGUAAACAAGAGCAGGAGCGAGAACAUGGGUUGUAUCGGAAUGAUCAAUGGUUGCUUGCCUGAUGGAGUGGUGACGGGAUACUGCCCUUCAGUUGGAUACUCGUGAAUAUCCUCGGAGGCAGAACCUACCACGAAGAACACAACCGAGCACAAUCAACACAUGACGAUAUGCAACAAUAUGAUGCAUGCUAUGACAUGGCAAUAUGGAUCUGUCUUGAGCUAAUGCAACUAGCUAUAAUUUAAAUGGAGUUGGUUUGAGUGCAAGAUUCAAAUUCCAACCCCAUAUAUGAUUAUUUAAAUGCCCUUUAUUUGUUUUGUCCAAAACAGGGGACAAACAUUGUUCAAACAUGCAUGAAAAUGGUACAGAUGAAUUCCUUGAAUUUUUCUGAUAAUUUUACAUAUAUAAUUUGUCUCAUUUGGAGUUAUGGUUGAAUUUCUAUGAAUUUUUGAAGUUUGAACUAUUUUCUGGAAUUUCCUGAAUAAAAAUAAUUCUAGUAAAUCAAUUACUGCGUCAGCAAUGCGUCAGGGUGACGUCAGGGUCAACGGGGACGUCCAGGUCAAACCUGACUGGUGGGUCCCGCGUGUCAGUAGUUAAUUAAACUAACUAAUUUUAGUUAGGAACUAAUCUGGAUAAUUAGCAGAGGGGGGCCCACUUGUCAUUGACUCAGGGGAGUCAACUGGGCCCACCCAGUCCACGUCAGUGGUCAAACUCGCCGGCGUUUAGCCGCCGGCGAGGCCAGACGCGGCGGCGUGCUGCGGGAUUUGCCCACAGGGCUCCGUUUGCCACACGGAGAGCAGCUACGGGCAGCUGGUGCUCGCCCGCAUCCAGCCGUGGUGAUGGCUUGGCCGGGGAGUGGCCGGAGCAUCGCCGGCGAUGAGGUUAGGCGGAGGCCGAAGCUCGGGCCAGCUCGUGCGCGUGGCUGCAGUGGCCUAGGCGAUGUGGCGCUAGCACCUACAGCCUCUACGCGGCGCGAGGAGUGUGACGGACACAAGCCCGUGACCAGAUGGUCACCGGAGCAACGCCGGCGACGUGGUCAGGCGGCGGCGCGUUCGGGCACAAGAGAUGCGGCGUCUACGGUGUUCCAGGGGUGAAACAGAAAGCACGGGGAGGUUCAACAGCUCACAGAGAAGCCGCAGGGAGGGUCAGCGUGCUCGGGGAAGGCUCGGUGCGGUCGGAACGGCGACGGUGAUCUGGGCGGCCCGAGGUUGAAGACGAGCUCGGUGGAGUCGUUUGCGGGCCUCCGGCGGGGCGUGGCUUGGUGGAGCGAUCGAGGAGGAAGUGGCGGAGCUUCAGGACACGGUGGAGCAGCGCGGGGACGGCGGUGGACACGACUACGCUGGCGGAACGACGACGGCUGCGUCGGCCAUGGCUAAGGGGAGCGAGGGAGUGAGGCAGGGGGCGAGUGAGCAUGUCCAGGGGGUCGAGGCGGCGACGUGGAGCCUGUCUAGGCCAGCAGGGCGGCGAGGGGAGGAAGCAGGGCGGCAGCCAGCUGCGUGGCGCGCGCGGGUGCCGCCGUCGAGCACCUGCCUGCCUGCCUGGCCGAGCCAAGCUGCUCGCUGGCGCGGUGGCUGGGCUGGGCCGGCAGGUGGGCCUGGUGGGCGGCGCCAGGUAAGGCCCAGGUGGGCUUCUCCCUCUCCUCUUUUUUCUGUUUUCUAUUUUCUGUAACUGUUGGGCUUUAUUAAAAAUACUAAAAUAUUUCCAAAAUUCAUGAAAAUAAAUGUGAGCUCUGUUUAGAAUAUUUCCAACAGAAAACAUUUAUUCCCAAAAUUAUUUGAGCAUUUAAAUUAUUUUAUAGCAUUUAAAUGCCCAAAUUCAAAUACUUAUGAAUUAAAUCAAUGCCCCUUUUGAUGACCUAAAAUUAUAUUCACCAUUUUUCCCAAGGGUUCUAACCCAAGGCAAAGAGGGUGAACAUUUCUGAAGGGCAUUUCAGGUUCAUUGAAUUUAUUUUUAGUAAACCCUAGUUGAUUUCAGGGGGGGUGCUGGGGGUUCUGCUUUCCCCAUUUCCAUUUCUGAUGAAAGUAGACAUGAUGCACACUCUAAUGCAUAACCUAGUUAGGAUGUGACAACUCACCCCCACUCAAUAGAAUCUCGUCCCGAGAUUUAGGAUCAUCUGGGAAGAAGGCGGGGUACUCGAGUCGAAGACGAUCCUCCCUUUCCCAAGUGGCUUCUUCCUCGGAAUGGUGUGACCAUUGAACCUUGAGAAACUUGAUAUUAUGACGUCGAGUGGUACGCUCGGCUUGAUCAAGGAUACGAACGGGGUAUUCCCGAUAAGAAAGGUUAUCUUGUAAAUCAAGCGUUUCGUGGUCCACUCCACGGAUAGGAUCCGCGAAGCAACGCCUGAGUUGCGAAACGUGGAAGACGUCGUGAACUCUGGAAAGAUGCGGAGGUAGUUCCAAUUGGUAGGCAACUUCUCCUCGUUUGGCAAUAAUGCGAAAGGGUCCAAUGUAACGAGGAGCCAAUUUGCCUUUGAUAUCGAAGCGAUGGGUUCCUUUUAACGGGGUAACCCGAAGGUAAGCUUUCUCGUCAAUUUCAAAUGUCAUAGGCUUAUGCUUACGAUCAUAUUGACUCUUUUGGCGAGAUUGGGCCGUUUUCAAUUUCUCACGAAUAACGCGAACCUGCUCUUCUGCUUCUUGAAUCAUAUCCGGGCCAAAGAGUUGUCUUUCCCCGGUUUCUGACCAGUUAAGAGGCGUUCGACAUUUUCGUCCAUAGAGAACUUCGAAGGGAGCCUUGCCCAAACUAGCUUGAUAGCUAUUGUUAUAGGCAAACUCCGCGAAUGGAAGGCAUUUCUCCCAACUUAUUCCGAACGAGAUAACAGAAGCUCGGAGCAUAUCUUCCAGAAUUUGAUUUACUCGCUCUACUUGACCACUUGAUUGAGGAUGGAAGGCGGUGCUAAAGGAGAGAUGAGUUCCCAUAGCAUUUUGGAAACUUUCCCAAAAUCGAGAGGUGAAGAGACUUCCACGGUCUGAGUUAAUUUCCAACGGGACGCCAUGAAGAGACACUAUUCGGGAGAUGUAUAAGUCAGCCAGCUGGCUAGCGGUGAUACUCUCUCGAACAGGUAGAAAAUGGGCUACUUUGGAAAGACGGUCGAUCACGACGAAGAUGGCAUUAUUUCCCCUCUUGGUCCUGGGAAAUCCAGUGAUGAAAUCCAUACUGAUUUUGUCCCACUUCCAUUCAGGAAUAGCCAAAGGUUGAAGGGUGCCAGCAGGCCGUUGAUGCUCUGCUUUAACACGACGACAAACGUCGCAAUUAGCAAUGUAUUGAGCAAUUUCCCUCUUCAUCCUAGUCCACCAAAACCUCUGGCGUAGGUCUUGAUACAUUUUGGUACUACCGGGAUGAAUGGUGAGAGGGGAUUCAUGAGCUUCCUUAAGGAUCAGUCGCCUCAGGUUUCGCGCCUUCGGAACCACUAGGCGAUCCCCAAAGUAUACAACACCUUGGUCAUCAAUGGAGAAACAAUUCACGACUCCUUUUAUAACGUUUCUCUUGAUACGGGAAAUUCCCGGAUCUAUCUUCUGCGCCUUGAUGACCUGAUCCGUAAGGGUAGGUUUCGCCACCAGGGUAGACAGGAAUCCACGAGGAACAAUGUGAAGAUUAAGCUUACGAAAUUCCUCAUGGAGAAGUGGUUGACUUUGUUGUAACAUCAGGUUGUUACAGUAGGACUUACGACUUAGUGCAUCAGCCAUGACAUUGGCUUUGCCAGGGGUGUAAGUUAUUCCUAAGUCGUAAUCCGAGAUCAACUCGACCCAACGUCUUUGCCUGAGAUUCAAAUCUGGUUGGGUGAAGAUAUAUUUCAAGCUUUGGUGAUCGGUGAAGAUCUCGCAACGAUUACCGAGAAGGUAAUGUCGCCAGGUUUUGAGUGCAUGGACUACAGCUGCAAGCUCUAGAUCAUGUGUGGGAUAAUUUUCCUCAUGUGGGUGUAAUUGCCGUGAGGCAUAGGCAAUUACCUGACGAUCCUGCAUGAGUAUGCAACCUAGUCCUUGUCGCGAGGCGUCGCAAUAGAUAAUAAAGUCCUUGGAGAAAUCUGGUGGUACCAGUACGGGAGCAGAUGUCAGGCGUCUUUUCAGUUCCUGAAAACUGAACUCGCACUGUGGAGUCCACUCGAACUUUUUAUCUUUCUUGAGGAGUUCAGUUAGAGGUUUAGCAACCUUGGAGAAAUUCUCGACGAAGCGGCGGCAAUAGCUCGCUAGGCCAAGGAAACUCCGAACUUGCUUGACCGAAACAGGUGGAGUCCAAUCAAGGACGGCUUGAACUCGCUCGGGAUUGACAGCAAUACCCUUACCAGAGAUUACAUGGCCUAGAUAGGUCACUUCUGACAACCAAAAUUCACACUUGGAGAAUUUGGCAUAAAGGCGAUGCUCUCGAAGUUUCAUCAAUACCAGCCUUAGAUGUUCGGCAUGUUCCUCUUCAUUUUUGGAGUAGAUGAGUAUGUCAUCGAGGUAUACUACGACGAAUUUGUCCAAGUACUCCAUGAAAACCGAGUUCAUUAACCGGGAGAAAGUGGCCGGGGCAUUGGUUAAACCGAAGGACAUGACGGUGUACUCGUAUUGGCCAUAACGAGUGACAAAAGCCGUUUUGGGAAUGUCCCCGUUUCUGAUUUUGAUUUGAUGGUAGCCCAACCUCAAAUCCAUCUUGGAGAAGACUGAGGAUCCAGCGAGCUGAUCGUACAGGUCGUUGAUCCUGGGAAGCGGGUAUUUGUUCUUGAUGGUGACCAGAUUGACAGGUCGGUAAUCCACAACCAUUCGAUCCGUUCCAUCCUUCUUCUUGACGAAGAGGACGGGGCAAGCCCAAGGAGAGGAGCUAGGACGGAUGAACCCUUUGUUCAAGGACUCAUCGAGUUGGUUCUUAAGCUCGGCUAGUUCUAAGGGUGCCAUCUUGUAGGGUCUUCUAGCAAUUGGAACGGUUCCUGGAACAAGGUCUAUCACAAACUCGACAUCCCGGUCAGGUGGAACACCUGGCAGUUCUUCCGGAAACACAUCCGGGAAGUCUCGGACUACCGGAACGUCCUCAAGGUCUGGAAGGGGGUUGGCAUUGAGAGAGUAAAGUUGGCGCUUGGCCACUCGAGUUAAGACAUUAACUGUCUUGCCCGAGGGAUGAGUAAGUUGAACGGUUCUAGUGGCACAAUCGAUCUUGGCAUAGUGAGCCGACAUCCAGUCCAUACCCAAGAUGAUAUUUAUGUCGGAGGACUUGAGAGCUAUUAAAGAUGCAAGGAAGACAAGCCUAUCGACAAGAAUUUCGUUCCCAUGGCUUACCCUAGAAGUUUGCCAUUUGGAACCCGGAGUUUGAAUUACCAUGGAAGUGGGCAUGUCACAGAAUGUCGUGUUAUGCAACCGAGCAUAAUUCUCGGAUAUGAAUGAAUGAGAUGCUCCAGUAUCGAAAAGAACAGAUGCCGGAUGGCAGUUAACAAGGAGCGUACCAAGGACGACGUUGGGAUCCUCAUGAGCCUCUUCGGCUGAGAUGUAGUUGACAUGGCCACGUGCAGUAGUGGCCGGCUUGGCGUAGAAAGUCUUUCCCGCGGGCUUACCACGGCCAACGGACUUUCCCGCUUGAUUGGGGUUGUUCUGGGGACACUCUCGACUAUAGUGACCCGGUUCUCCACACUUGAAGCAUGUUACCACAGUGGGGCGUGGAGCAACAUUAGCAGCGGGGCCACCAUAGGGCUUGGAUGGUGCAAUUUGCUGGUUGGGACGAGGCGCCUCAAAGGAUGGCCUCGGGGUGAAUCUGGGUGGCAGUGCGGUGCUUGGAAUCCACACCCGGCGCUUCUGAGCUCCAGAGCCGGAUGAAGACCCAAAAUCACGAGAAUGCUUGCGUGAAGCGUCAUAAUCAGUCUGGCCUGUCUCAGCACUGAUAGCUUUAUUGACCAACUUCUGGAAGGAUGUGCACUCGUGCAGACGGAGAUCGCGGCGAAGCUCAGGGCUAAGUCCCUUACGGAACCUUGCCUGCUUCUUGGCGUCAGUAGAAACCUCUUCAGGAGCAUAGUGUGCCAGGUUCCCAAAUUCUCGGCUAUAUGCAUCCACAGUCAGCCUUCCUUGGGUGAAGUUGCAGAACUCCUCCCUCUUGCGAUCCAUGAGACCUUCCGGAAUGUGAUGCUCACGGAAAGCCUCGCUGAACUCAGCCCAGGUAGUGAUUUGACCGACCGGGCGCAUAGCUUCGUAGUUUUCCCACCAAUGGCUAGCGGGGCCCUCAAGAUGAUAAGCAGCAUAGGUAACCUUGUCGGCUUCAGCUACGUUGGCAGAACGUAGCUUGUGGGUGAUGCUGCGAAGCCAAUCAUCCGCGUCGAGGGGCUCGACGGAAUGGUUAAACUUUGGUGGGUACAGCUUGAUGAAGUCGUUGAUUGACACCAAGGCAUUUCGUGGGUGGCGUGCAGUGUUCUGCUCAAUCCGCUCCAGCAGGCGGUUGGUCUCACGCUUGUUCCUUUCCGCCUCCAGCAUCACUUCGGCCAGGGAAGGCGGGUGGGGCAAAUUUUCACCUCUAGCUGCAUUGGCUUCCCCCUGCUCCGGGGCAGCAGGGUUUCCGCGGGUGUUGACCAUCCUAGGAGGGAAAACAAAACAACGGUUUAGACGAGGAUGGCUCAAACUUAACAGGGAAGUGCAGAAUGUAAAGGAUAACGCGGAAUGCAGAGAUGCUCAUUCGUAUGCCAUGGUAAUAUAAAACUGCCAUAUAUACACCGACGGUCAUACUCGUCAUACAUAGUUUAGUACAAGCCCAUGCUACAGUACAACUAUGAAGGUAGACGUUACAUCUCAUCGGAGGCAUUCCGAGUCCCUAUACAUUAUUUGUCUACACCUCCGGAAUCGAUUACACACCAAGUCGUAUUCCACAAGUCACACAGGACAGUGGAGAUACAACUACUACAAUACUAGUGGUACUACUACUAACUCAGAUAGCUCCGUAGUAGUCCUCAUAGAAGUCACCUCCAUAGCCUGGAAGUUCAACGUGAUCAUCCGGAAACAGACGGUCCUGAGGAGCCUGUGGACCAUAGGGGCUAGGAUAAGGUCUUGGACCAACAAACGGUGGCCUGCGGGGACCAAGGGGUGGGGUGAUGCCUCCCACAUCACGCCAAUCCACCAUGUCUGGCAGAGCUGCUCUCACAGGAUACAGAUCCCUGGUAUCCAUACAUCCAGCUUGCACCGCGGGUGCAAACCGAGUCAAUGUGGCCCAAUGAUCAGCACGGGUAUUGAAGAGCUCCAGCCUCAAGGCCCGAUUCUCUCGGUCCUUAUCUUCGAGCAUCUCAGCGGUGGUACGAGUUAAUGAGUCCUCCUGAGUGGAGUCAGCAUAGAUAGCCUGAAGAUACCCCUGCGCUCCCGGAAGUGAAGCUGGCAUGUAACGGAAGCCAGUGUUCCGAAGCAGGCCAGUCCGGACUCGCAAGAUGGUCAUCAUGGAAUAGGCAGCAUCCUGCACAGCCAUCUCAAUGGUAACUCCGAGUCCAUAGGAACAGUGAAGGGGCUCGGUAGAUCCAGGAUAGGAAGGAAAUAUCCUGACGGUGCAUAAAUACUGGCUUUGAUUAAAGUCGCGGAACUGCUCUUCAACAGUGUAUUCGGGAUACCAACGGUAUCCUGUCUCGAUCAUUACCCGGACCAACAUAGCAGUAUGACCGGGCACGUCGAGGCACCUGGUCAGGCGAACCACUUGGUUUUGAGACUGGUUGUCCAUCUGAAAGCAUAGCCACAAGACAAAGACAUCAGAAUUCCUAGGGAAAAUUGGGCAGCAUAACGGCUGUAAAUGCUCAGAAAAAGAUUUGAGACAUCCACAACAGUUCACAAUACCGCUCAACAGCAUCAUAUCAAGGUUCUGAUUCAAAUAGCCACAUACUAAAAUAGUAGAAACUGGACUGAAACUCGUAGCAAAAAUCCUAUGAGCUACUACGGAUUAGUAACACGUGAACCUGAUAGAAGAAGAGAGCCUAGUCCUUAACCCACGUUGAAUGAGAAGAGAAUAACUCAGAUCAGAAGCAUAGGGUAAAGGAGUAAAAGAACCUUACGUUCCCUCCCACAAUCAAUUCCCUUACAUAUAACUAAAGCAUUUCUAGACUCGACAUCGACCAGUUUGGCUGAACGAACCUACAGGCAGUCCGGCUCUGAUGCCAACGCUGUCAGGACCCCGAUUCUAAGCCACAUCGAUCUAGCCGGUAACACCUCAUAUCACUUUGCGGCCUCACGCACGGUAUCCCACGGGUGUCGCCUUACCAUGGCCCGGGACCGUUUGCGCCUUUUGGCUCACGUAUAUGACAAUGUCGCUAGCAUCCAUAUGACCGAGAACCUGGGCCGACAUGGCUAGUCGUGAACCCAAAGCGGCACAGACCUAUGGAGACAGGCAUACAUGAAUCACAACGAACAUGUCGGUCAUCAACGAGUGAUUCCGGGCUGUAGCACUGGGCUAGCAGGACUCCGGGGAAUCCCGGGCUGUAGCAGGCUAGACAGGACUCCGGAGAUCACCGCGUGACAUUUCCCCGAAGGGACAGACAUAGGGACGAAGUGAAACACAUGCCGGCCAGUCAAGUGUCCUGAACAGUAGUGCUGGGCUAGCAGGACUCCGGUGAACCGGGCUGUAGCGGACUACUAUGGCUCGAGGAGCACUAGACUACAUUUCCCCAUAAGAAAGGCUGCGAAGGGCAAACAACUAGAUUGUCAGAUCCCACUCAUACCAAGCAUUUCAAACAUACAUACAAUAUGCUCGAUAUGGGUACAUACAACAUGGCAUCACAACAAAACUCUACAACUCAAGUACUUUAUUUAAAGGCUCCAGGGAGCCAUACAUAACAUAUCCAUACAGGUAGGGGUCACAUGACCCGACACUCAAGUCAUACAGUCAUACAAGCACAUGCGGAAGCAACUAGUCUGAGUACAGACUCUAGAAAGAAAGAAGGCUUCUCGAAGCCUGUCUAUCUACAUAGGGCCCUCCAUGGCCUGGAUCACCACCUGGGUGUCUAGUCACUCGUCGACGUCAAGAUCUACGUAAAACCCAUCGGAGGGGGGCAGUGUUGUCGUCUGAAAACAAUAAAUAAGCAAACAUGAGUACAAAGGUACUCAGCAAGUCUUACAUCAGAACCUACUGUACAUGCUCAUUCUCAAGAAGGUGGUGGGGUUUAUGCAGCAAGCCAGCUUUGACUCUUGGCUAAGCUAUCCUACGGAAUCUUUUAGCAAAAUAGUUUUCGCACACGAGUCCACUACUCACCAUCACAAUACUCCACCGAGGAUCCUCCCUCGUAUCCUGUGAAGGGGGCCAUCCCCGGUACUCACACUUAUCUUGAGUCUUUUAGUAGUAUCCAUUAACUUGUCUAUGAACUGUAUAUGCAAUCAAGUAGUCCUUUACCGCGGACGCGGCUAUUCGAAUAGUUUUAUACCCUGCAGGGGUGUACUUCGUCAUACACGCUUUCACCGCUUACCGCCGUCUACACGACAUGUACUCGGCUACCUUCAAGCGGAAGCCCAGCGAGGGUGUCGGCCACGGCCUACCUAAUCACCUAAGCCCCUAGUCCAGGUUAUCGCCUAUCCAGGUUCCAUCCGCAGGGAGUCCGGCCGAGGUUUCCACAUACGGCCCCGAACGAUGUGAACAGGGUUCCCGAGACACCAAACGGGUGACUCGGUACACCGUGCCACGGUGUAUCUACCGCAACAUAGCCCACCCCUAGGGUCAGCGCUACGCACGGCCGCCAACACAUAUCCUACAAGCACGAGAAACUAUUUGCAACUCCUGGACAGAGUACUAGGGUGGCUAAGAAGCCGAGAGGGUCCAUUUGUUUCGGGCCCAAUGUACGGUAGUAACUGCAUCUUAAAUCACACAUUCAGAUCUCAGUUCUUAUGGACGGCCUCAAUGAAACAACCCACCAUGUACUCCUACAUGGCCUCUCAUUGAUACCUUUACCAAAACAUGUUCAACACAUCCCUCAUAUUACUGGCACAAGCAUUUCACUCUAGCCCAUCACCCAGAUGAACCAGACCUGACACAACUCUAGGCAUAGCAGGCAUAGCAAGGUAGGAAUCACAAAACAUGGCUCAAUCAACUCCUACACAUGCUAGUGGGUUUCAUCUAGUUACUGUGGCAAUGACAGGUCAUGCAGAGGAUAAGGGUUCAACUACCGUAGCACACAGCAGUUUGAAACGUGUUGACUUAAUGCAGUAAACAAGAGCAGGAGCGAGAACAUGGGUUGUAUCGGAAUGAUCAAUGGUUGCUUGCCUGAUGGAGUGGUGACGGGAUACUGCCCUUCAGUUGGAUACUCGUGAAUAUCCUCGGAGGCAGAACCUACCACGAAGAACACAACCGAGCACAAUCAACACAUGACGAUAUGCAACAAUAUGAUGCAUGCUAUGACAUGGCAAUAUGGAUGUGUCUUGAGCUAAUGCAACUAGCUAUAAUUUAAAUGGAGUUGGUUUGAGUGCAAGAUUCAAAUUCCAACCCCAUAUAUGAUUAUUUAAAUGCCCUUUAUUUGUUUUGUCCAAAACAGGGGACAAACAUUGUUCAAACAUGCAUGAAAAUGGUACAGAUGAAUUCCUUGAAUUUUUCUGAUAAUUUUACAUAUAUAAUUUGUCUCAUUUGGAGUUAUGGUUGAAUUUCUAUGAAUUUUUGAAGUUUGAACUAUUUUCUGGAAUUUCCUGAAUAAAAAUAAUUCUAGUAAAUCAAUUACUGCGUCAGCAAUGCGUCAGGGUGACGUCAGGGUCAACGGGGACGUCCAGGUCAAACCUGACUGGUGGGUCCCGCGUGUCAGUAGUUAAUUAAACUAACUAAUUUUAGUUAGGAACUAUUCUGGAUAAUUAGCAGAGGGGGGCCCACUUGUCAUUGACUCAGGGGAGUCAACUGGGCCCACCCAGUCCACGUCAGUGGUCAAACUCGCCGGCGUUUAGCCGCCGGCGAGGCCAGACGCGGCGGCGUGCUGCGGGAUUUGCCCACAGGGCUCCGUUUGCCACACGGAGAGCAGCUACGGGCAGCUGGUGCUCGCCCGCAUCCAGCCGUGGUGAUGGCUUGGCCGGGGAGUGGCCGGAGCAUCGCCGGCGAUGAGGUUAGGCGGAGGCCGAAGCUCGGGCCAGCUCGUGCGUGUGGCUGCAGUGGCCUAGGCGAUGUGGCGCUAGCACCUACAGCCUCUACGCGGCGCGAGGAGUGUGACGGACACAAGCCCGUGACCAGAUGGUCACCGGAGCAACGCCGGCGACGUGGUCAGGCGGCGGCGCGUUCGGGCACAAGAGAUGCGGCGUCUACGGUGUUCCAGGGGUGAAACAGAAAGCACGGGGAGGUUCAACAGCUCACAGAGAAGCCGCAGGGAGGGUCAGCGUGCUCGGGGAAGGCUCGGUGCGGUCGGAACGGCGACGGUGAUCUGGGCGGCCCGAGGUUGAAGACGAGCUCGGUGGAGUUGUUUGCGGGCCUCCGGCGGGGCGUGGCUUGGUGGAGCGAUCGAGGAGGAAGUGGCGGAGCUUCAGGACACGGUGGAGCAGCGCGGGGACGGCGGUGGACACGACUACGCUGGCGGAACGACGACGGCUGCGUCGGCCAUGGCUAAGGGGAGCGAGGGAGUGAGGCAGGGGGCGAGUGAGCAUGUCCAGGGGGUCGAGGCGGCGACGUGGAGCCUGUCUAGGCCAGCAGGGCGGCGAGGGGAGGAAGCAGGGCGGCAGCCAGCUGCGUGGCGCGCGCGGGUGCCGCCGUCGAGCACCUGCCUGCCUGCCUGGCCGAGCCAAGCUGCUCGCUGGCGCGGUGGCUGGGCUGGGCCGGCAGGUGGGCCUGGUGGGCGGCGCCAGGUAAGGCCCAGGUGGGCUUCUCCCUCUCCUCUUUUUUCUGUUUUCUAUUUUCUGUAACUGUUGGGCUUUAUUAAAAAUACUAAAAUAUUUCCAAAAUUCAUGAAAAUAAAUGUGAGCUCUGUUUAGAAUAUUUCCAACAGAAAACAUUUAUUCCCAAAAUUAUUUGAGCAUUUAAAUUAUUUUAUAGCAUUUAAAUGCCCAAAUUCAAAUACUUAUGAAUUAAAUCAAUGCCCCUUUUGAUGACCUAAAAUUAUAUUCACCAUUUUUCCCAAGGGUUCUAACCCAAGGCAAAGAGGGUGAACAUUUCUGAAGGGCAUUUCAGGUUCAUUGAAUUUAUUUUUAGUAAACCCUAGUUGAUUUCAGGGGGGGGGUGCUGGGGGUUCUGCUUUCCCCAUUUCCAUUUCUGAUGAAAGUAGACAUGAUGCACACUCUAAUGCAUAACCUAGUUAGGAUGUGACAAACGUCCUCGACUACAUCGAGGCCGGCAACACGCCGCGCCUCGAGUACCCCGCCCCCGCUCCCUCGUCCUUCUCUCGCCGUCGUGGCAGCUCGCGGAUGCCGCGGCGGUUGUCAUACGCGACGACCUCCUCCUCCUCGGGUGGCUCGCCGGCGGCCUUCGCCGUCAAGCCCGAGCCGCAGGACACGGCGGGGGAGUCCCCGCUAGGGCGCCACACCCGCAGCGGUGCCCUGACCAUCCGCGAGGAAGGCCACGGCGGUCGCCUGCGCCUCGUCCGACCGAAAACCGAGCCGGAGCCUCCCCUGCUCCCGGUGAAGCCAGAGCACCUCGCGAUGGCCGCCGCCGACGAGACGGCCCAUGAAGUGGGUGAGGGAGGACUACGUCCGUGAGAAGGUGGCUCGCCAGCGCCGCGCCAUCGAGGAACUCAAGGCGUGCCACCACCGCCCCGUCCGCGAGGUGGACGGCGUCGUCUACCUCGACAGCGACGAGGAGGAGGCCGGGCCAUCCCGCGUCGGCGACCAUGGACAGGGCUGCAGCAGGGACGGCGGCGGGUCGCAGGGCGAGGACGACGAGGAAGACGACGACGAUGAUGACGAUGACGGAGACUACACCGACUUCUACAAGCACCUAGGCAUGUAGAAGCCGGACGGCGGCGAGGACGGCGUAGCUAGGCCGUGUUUAUUUUUUUUGUACAAAUUUGAAUGAAGGUCGCCGAGUUUGUGCCAAAAAACGCCGAAUAGAUUUAGCCCUGGGGCCGACCUGGGGCAACGAGUAGGAACGCAUUCGCCCCCACGCCGGAAAUCUCGCCGGCUCGCUCUUAGGACGCGUUUUUUUCGUCCGGCUGGGGCUGCACCGGCGCAAAUUUUAGGUUUGGGGGGAAAUUUUUUCCAGCCGUCUCCACCCCCAAGCAUCCCUGCACCUCGACGAGGAGGACGCGUGGCGCGCAGCGAGGAAGCGGCCGGGCCGGUGACGAUGUCGAGGAGGGCCCGGAGCAGAGGAGGAGGUCCAGGCCGCCGUCCUUGUGUCGGAGCGACGCCAUGAAGAAGAAGAGGAGCAAGAGGUCCGGGCUCUCCGCCACGCUGCGGGAGCUCAGGCUGGCGGCCAAGGCAAGGGACAAGGAAGGGCUCCUUCAGAUUUCUCGUCAUCGUACACCGCACCAGGGCAGCAGUCUUGGUGGCCGGCUGGCUGUAGAGCCCGACGCCGCCGUCCUCCAUGAUCUGGAAAGCGAGCGUGACGACGAGCUCCCCACCCUUGGCCUUGCCGGCGAGCAGGAACGCCAUCUGCCACUGCCGGACGCGCUCCCCUUGCUGGCUCUUCUCCGUGGACUCCUUCACGAGGGCGCCCAAGUCCACCGUGCUCUGGUCAAGGUCCAGCUCCGGCGCGUCCACGGCGACCACGGACAGCAGAAACGGGCGGGGCUCGAACUGGAGCGCCCUCGUGCGACUCCUUCUUGUGCAUGGCCACGGCGAGGCCCUGCGGAGAACGCGUGGUGUGCACGACUCCUUCUGGCCGAAGAGCACGCGUGGUGUGCUCGAACCGCCCUGGAUCCGUGGUUGCACCACCGUGUGGUGCUCUUCGACCUCGUCUGCACGACGGCACGACGACGAGUAGGCGGCGAGCGGGGAGGCAGGUGCUCCGCCCGGCCACGAGCUCGGCCCCGGCCACGCUCCGCCCGGCCGCGAGCUCGCCCGGCCACGCUCCGUCCGGCCGCGAACUCGCCGGCCAUGCUCCGCCCCGCCCGGCCUCGGAGUUGCUCGCCCCUUCCCGUCCACGCCCGGAGUCUAUCGCCCUCGCCUCGUCCACGCCCGGCCACGAGCUCCGCCCCGCUGGUGGAGAAGGACGACGGGAAGAGGCGUAGCUGGUGGAGAAGGAAGUCGUGGAGGAGGACGACAGGGAGAGGAUGGACGAGAUGGCGCUCCUCGCCGACGCCGCUGGCGUCUUGCUCGCGGAGGAAGGCUUGAGGGGGGCGGGCGGCAGCCAGGCAAGCGGACUUCUCCAUGGCCGAUCUCGGGAGAGGGGAGAGGAAAAGAGAGGACAGAGGGUGAGGCCACAGGAUGGGUCCCAGAUGAAAAGAGAUGAGAGAGGGAGGUGGGAGGCUGAGGGUGGGCCAGCAGCGAGGAAAAGAAGCCGCCGGCACGCCCAGCUGCCCCCCAGGGGGCUGGGUUCGGGGUGAGACUACCGGCGCUGUUUUUCUUCAAAUUCAGCGAAAAAUGACGCUUUGAAAGCGUGAGUGAGAGGAUUUUUUGUCGCGGACAUUAAAAAAAUGACCUGGGGGCGUUUCUGAAGACGUGGGUGGAGAUGCUCUAAGGAAUAGCACCUUGAGAGGAAGAUGCAAGGCGGCGAGGAAGCAAAUCCUGUGGUCGAGGGAGCGCGUGCCAGGAGGGCUCGCGCCAUCGCUUCUGCUGCGAUGCGGGGCUUGGCAGGUGGCACUGCAACGACUGCAGCGCUUGUGAGCACCCGCGGCAGGAUGCUCCCCGCUGACGUCGAGGCCGGCGUGCUCUCCUCGAUCCUGCACGUGCGUAGGGAUUUGGGCCGAUCAUGUCAGUCAAAUUCGAGUUCAUUUUGAGCCUGUUUGCUUUUUUUUUUUACUUUUCCAGUCCCCUGGCUGCAGGGCAUGGUACAUGUGACCUUCGGCGAGAUCGCCGGCGGACCGUCCGACGUGUCUUUCAAUUUUUUUUGAGCAUCAGUACAAACACAAACGCUCAUAUACACGCGCAUACACUCAUUCCUAUGAACGCACACACGCACACCCUACCCCUAUGAGCACCUCCGAGAGACUGAGCCGGCAUAUCAUUUUGAGAUUUACGAAGUCACUGUAGGCGCCUCGUCGUCGACGGGAACGUCUCCUUCCACUGAAAGCGCAUCGUCGAAAAUCCUGAAAUAAAUCCAGGAUUAAUGCGAGCACCAGAAUUUGAACCCUGGUGAGUUGGGAAUACCACUGUCCACCCAACCAACUCAAUCACAGGUUGAUUCGCACGUGUCUUUUAAUUUGGAGUGCUAACUUUAUUGCAUGGAAGAACCGUACUGUAAAAUAAGUUGAUCUGGAUUUUUUUUACGUAUAGAAGUUGAUCCGAGUUUGCAAUGGUGCAUUUCUGCUACUAAAUCCGACAUCUUCAUGAUGCUCUGGCCCUGCCUUAUGUAUCUAGGACGGUUGCAUCAAGGUGUGUAUCUUAACUGUUCUGGACAUGCUCUAAAUGUUGUAGAAGUAGCCUGCAAAAGUAGUGUAUACAUAGCUAAAAAGCUGUGGAAUUCUAGCUGAAUUUCGGGUCAGCCCUGGGGCACCCAAUGGGCCAGCGAGCCACAUGAUUUUGUCGGAAUGGGUCGACCCGUGACCCCUGAAAUUGGCCUUGAGACCAUUGGUCCAGGUCCAGGCCCACACAUUCCCAUCUUGACUCCAAACACUGGCCCCCAGCAGAAUCGGUCUAGCUCUAGCUCCGUCACUGCUUCUGCCAAUGCGAAAGCUUCUAUGCAGGGCCACAGCCUCGAGAGUCCAAGGGUCAGCACCAGUGGCGAAGCCAGAAAUUUAAUAUAGAGAGGGCCAAACUGUGUUAUAUGAUGUUAGACGAGACCAAAUCAUUUAAAUAUUGCUACUUUUGUUUGACAAAUAGAGGAUCAAGAGCACAUGUAGUUGUAUUUCUGAGAGUAUAGAGGGGGGCCUGCCAACACCCCUGCCUCCGCCACUGGUCAACACUAGUAGAAAACAGAGUUUUGGUCCAGGCCUGGCCAGCCCAUUAGUCCCGGUUCAAUCACGAACCGGGACCCAUGGGGGCAUACGUCCCGAUUUGUGAGCCCAGGGGGACGGCCGGGCCUCGUGGGGCAUUGGUCCCGGUUCGUCUGGACCCAUUAGUCCCGGUUCCAGCCACGAGCCGGGACCAAUGAGGUGGCUAUAUAUACCCCUAGCCCGCGAGCAGAGCACUCCACUGCUCUGUUUUUUUCUGGACAGCGAGGGAAGGACUUUGUGGUGCUCUAGCUCACCUCCUAUGCACAUGAGGUGUUCGAUGAAAUGCCUGAGCCACACUACUUAAGCUUUUUCCUCUCUAAACUCGACUUCCAAACUCCAUUUUCCUUAAGAUUUAUUUAGGUUUAGCGGUCUGUCCCGUCCCCGUCUUCACCGUCGUCGAUCGCCCGCGCCGAUCUCGUCGAGUCCUCUCUAUACGUAUAGUACGUAGCGUCGACCAAGCACGGAGGUAAGAGAGGACACUUCUUUCUAUUAGCUAGCUAACACAAUAUAUGAAACCCCUAAAUUAACCCUACAAACCCCCCAACCGCCCCAAAAAACCCAGCCCCUAAAAUGUUGACGUGUUGAUGCUUUUUGGUCCCGGUUGGUGCUACCAACCAGAAUAAAAGACAUAAUAUAUUUUGCAACAAAAUUCAUCACACCUUGCUGCCUUGAGCCGACACUGAGACCUUCAACCUGUUGUCAUCCUAACAUAAAAAGUUGCAAAUUGUUUUGUUUAGCAAGGAUUAAGAUUUAAGAGUUGCUCGACUAGUACUUGUCUUGCAACCAAACUAGUGUCACAGCAUGUCCACGAGUCAGUGCCCUGGGCACUUGUAGUCCUUGGUGUUUACCGAUGUAUAUAUCUGUUCUGAUUGUGUUUAAUGAGCAGCAGGGAUAACUAAUCGUGCUACCGUUACCAUGGCAUUAUAUACAAACAUUUUUCCUGUUGAAACAUGAUCACAAUCAUAUCGAUCUGAAAAAGAAGAGAAAAAUGAGAAAUAUUAUAUAUUCAGUAAAAGCAAAAUAUUAAUUCAUGAAUUAGUAAAGGUUGUACCUCGGUGAUGGAGUGUACAUCAGUGUGGUGACUCCAACUCGCUUGUCAGACAUUGAAUGUAGUGCGCCUCUGUUCUGUUGCUUCUGUAGAGCGUCAGCAGAUCUGGGCUGCUGUUCCUAUUUUUUGUUCUGCUCAGUGACUUGAACUGAGGUGAGUUAACUUGCUUUUCCUGAAUUUCAUGACCAAAACAGAGAAGAGCUUAAGGGAUAUAAAAGGGGGGGAAUGAAACACUAGGAGGGAUGUACAUGCUUGUGUUGACCAGUGCUUUAUAUUUAUGUGGGGACAAAUGCAUUGGAUAUUUUGUUCGAAUAGGAGGGAUAUAUCUAAGCAUAUUGCCACUAGGAAAAAGUCACUCUGCUCUUCAGAUUCAUAACUUCCGUAAGCGGGUUUUACUUGAUCAAAAUUGGAGGUUAAGAUAGCUUGAUUUUUUUCACUGGGAUUAGACUUAUGUGUUUACUCAGAAAUUCCAGCUAACUAUCUCUGAAAUAAAAGAAAAACGGACCUAAUUAGUCUGAUGUAAAUUUUCUGCUGGACAUGUGCACAGAACUUAUUCACCAUACUAUUUCUGAGGAGUAUCUCCAUACUAUUUAACCGUCACAACAACAAAUGCCAAUCUUUCAAGACUCCUCACAGGAAGAAAAAUUGGUAUAGCAAAUUAGGAAUAUUUAUGCAUGGAAGGUGACUGCACGUAGAUAGAGAGCAUUCCUUACUCUAUUUACACAUAUAUUACAUUCCUUCUGCAUGGUUGGCAUAUAUGGUUUGUGGGGUCAGUUCUGUCUGGUUGAGCAUGUUACUGUAUCAGGGGAAGACUGCAUUCUGAGAUCAAUCGACAUGUUAAUCUGGAACAAAAGAAAAUGGCACAAAGCUUCUCAAAAUGGAUAUGCUCGACAGCUAGGUAGUUAUAUAAAAUAUUCUUAUCUAUAUUUACUGAAGUUUAUGUAAAUAAUCUGAUGUGACAUGCAAGCACACCUUGAACAUAAAUUUAAGCAGCAACAAUACUAUUUCUUCAGACUCACACGGCACAACUCUUACUCUCUCCGUUCCUAAAUAUAAGUCUUUAGAGAUUCCACCACAAACUACAUACGGAUGUAUAUAGACAUGUUUUAGAAUGUAGCUUUAUUCAUUUUGCUCCGUAUAUAGUCCAUAGUGAAAUCUCUAAAAAGACUUAUAUUUAGAAACGGAGGGAGUACAUGAUAACAACAUCAUCUAAAACAAAUGAGGAACAGCUCCCGUACCCAAAGAUGGCGAAUGGUGAAUGCUUCUUGCCAAUACACGUAACUUACAAUUUAUAUAUCCAUAUAAUUAAGUGUACAUAAACAUAGAGAAAUGAAUCAUUAGAAAAAACGUUGCACCUCCACAAAAUUGGUGGCUUCGUGAUCCCAAAUUACAAGUGUAGUAGUACUACAAAGAAAAAUUACCUAGUGUAGUAUAAACACAAUAGAGGAAAAACUCACAUGUCUCAAUACUCUAUAGCAUCAACAGCAAACAUUCUGUUUGCCAUCCUAAAAAGAUGAUGGUUGCAUCUGUCGUGUUCCUUGACUCUACACCAUGGGUGCAUUGCCUCUAAUUUAUCGCUUCUUUUUUUGGCGAAAAGUAGCCUCUAAUUUAUCUCAAGAAGCUAAUCUGAAUCUAAUGCAUUCUGAAUUUCUGAACACUAGUUGGCAAGCUGUUCCUGGCUUCUUGCCGUAUGGUUGACAAGUCCACUCAGGAAAAAACUUGGAAUGUUCCGUCAGAAAAUAACAAGGCUCGCCAACUUCAGUCUUACUGAAAUGGCAGCAAAAGUAAAUAGGUUAAGAAAACUUACGCAGCACCAAAAGAGGGAAAGAAAUAACAACACAUAAACAACUGCAAAGUUCAUGAGUUUGCCUACAGAAUUUUGGAACUUCAAAUAGUGUAGUAUUCUACUCCCUCUGUUUCUAAAUAAUUGUCUUUCUAGACAUUUUAAAUGGCUACCACAUACGGAUGGAGUAGAUUUAAAUUUAGAGGUUUCUAUCUGUCAAGCUGGAACAUAAUUAAAUUAUAACAGUAGAUAAACUGGCAGGAAAUUAAGAUUAGAUAAACUAUCACAGUAGAAACUUGCUGACACAAACAAACGGCAGCAAGAAGAGUCUGAAGCGACACUAGCAGACAGGAACAUCGAUUCAAACAGCAACAUCACUAUUUCUUCAGAAACACAAGCAGCACAAUUCUUACAGAGAUUGUAACAUCGUACUACUGCCGACUACGUACACGACGCCUGCCGCCAUCAACUCAUGAAACAACAACGAAGCCAGCCUAGGAUGAGGUGAACUUGGUGACGGCCUUGGUGCCCUCGGAGACGGCGUGCUUGGCGAGCUCGCCGGGGAGGACGAGGCGGACGGAGGUCUGGAUCUCCCGGGACGUGAUGGUGGGCUUCUUGUUGUAGCGGGCCAGCUUGGCGGACUCGCCGGCGAGCUUCUCGAAGAUGUCGUUGAUGAAGGAGUUCAUGAUGGACAUGGCCUUGGAGGAGAUGCCGAUGUCCGGGUGCACCUGUUUGAGCACCUUGAAGAUGUAGAUCUUGUACGUCUCCACGCCCUUCUUGGCCUUGCUGCCCUUCUUCCUGCCCCUCGUCUUCCCCUCGCCGCCGGCCUCCUUGGUCGCCGGCGCCCGCUUCUCCGCCUUGGGCUUCUUCCCCGCGGUGGUCUUCUCGGCCGUGGCCACCGGCUUCUUCUCCGCUGCCUUGGGUGCCAUGGGUGCUGGUGGUGGUGGUGGUUCGAGCGUGGGGCUUGGUGUGGGAUGUGAGGGGGUUGCGGAUGCUGUGGUGUGCAGAGACGGAGGGGGCGGCGAGGUUAUGUAGGGAGCGGCGAGGAGGAGGAAGCAGGCGGGCUGCGGUUGGCGGAGAGGAUGGUGCCUCGGAUCGAUGGCGUGGAGUGGCUCCAGCCGUUCGGUGAUGCUUGGGACGGACGGACUGGAUGCGCUUUGCCGCGGAUCGAUGACGUGGCGAGAUGACUUCCCGCUGGAGCGGCGCGGAUCGAUGACGUCCGCCAAAGCACAGUAGAAAUCAAACUGAAGCCGCUGAAACUGUGGUCUCACCCAAUUGAACAAAAAAACAACUAAAAUCCAAAUGAAAUUCACGGCAAAUCUUAAAUGGCGCCUUAAACGCCUGUUUCUUCUGUUUCCAAAAUUAGCCCCUCCCCCCACGCUGGGCAGCCCGUUUUAGUUUUUUUUUCCUGUUAAACUGCAACAAGAAACACACUCGAGGUGAAUCUAACAUGUGACCUACUGUCUUUCAAUAAACUUCAGUAACCACCUGGGAUCCCAAAGUUGUUGUGUUUUCUUACUCCCUUUUUCUUCUUUAUUUUUUCUUUUUCUUUUUUAUUUCCUUAAAUUCAUGAAAUCUUUUUUCCAAAAUCUAUGAACUUUUUUCUCAGAAUCAAUGUUUUUUUUCAGCAUUCUGAACUUUUUUCAAAACUGAUGAUCUUUUUUCAAAUAUGUGAUUUUUUUCUUUCAAAUUUGAUGAACUUUUCCAAAAUUGAUGUUUUUUCCCAUUUGUGAAAUUUUAAAAAAUAGAUUUGUGGGAAACGAUGCGUAUAUUGGCAUCAAAUUCAGUUUAUACCCUUGUUAGUAUGUUGUGUUGUUUGCCAGGAAACAGAAAACCAAAGUAUAUGGCGUUGAAGGAAGUACCCUAAAGGUGAGGCAGUGACGCAGUGUGGCCAUAUAUGUGAGCCAUGGUCUAAUGCAAGUUAAGAUUCAUUGUGGUCGAGCGAACGACCGAAAACAAAAAAGGCUACACACUGUGAAUAAAGAUAGUGUUUGUUUCAUUUUAUCGUUGUAAACAAUAAAGUGUUUGGAUACCACCUGUAUGAGAACGAAAUGUUAUUUCUUACAGUGCUCGUAAUUAUAGUGCCAUUUUUUUGGUGAAAAUUUUGAAUGUUAUGUUCUCCGGUUUUGUUUUGACAUUUGGCAUUUCAGGUCACCCAAAGAAAACUUAAAAAAAUUGAGGCAAGUUGGCAUCCCAAGGGACUAACGAACCACUGAUACAGCAGCUCCUGGUCGUACCACAACAAACCAAGUUAUCAGAAGGAUAAACGAUUUGUCAUAUGAGCAUGUCUCCUCAUAACGGGCACCCCCAUAGCCUCCACCAAAUCGACAAAAUGUUACCCAAACACCGUGCAAAUGUGCCACUAGUACCGAUGGUCGACCACAAGCCAUAGAUUUAAACCGUCAGAACGCAUGAAAUAAACUAGAGAAGUGGAAGAAACUGAAAAGAAACAUGAUGGUCGGCCUAAAUGCGUCCACGGCUGCAACUAGAAGGACUGGAGGCCCAAUGCCAAGAGAGGAAAUAACACUAAUUGAAAAAGAAAACUCAUUCGUCGAUAAAAAAAAUCAUUAUGCAUUUAACCUGUUAUUGUACUAUUCAUCAAUUUACUGAAAAUCCUUGUUAUUUUUUCCACCAUGAAACAUCAACUGCUUAUUUUUCGUGGAAGCUUUCCGGUGACGAACAUUUUUCUACUGGAUCCUUUGAAGGCCCUGCCUGAUCCUAUUUUAAUUUCUCAAUAUCAGUUUCUGCUUUAGCUCAUUAUUACAAAAAUAGUGCCUCAUCUGGCUAGUAAUUUUAGUUUGCAUCUAGCAGCCAAAACGUUCCCUCAGGUCUGGUCUGUUACGUACAUCAAACUCCGAAGGAAAGAUCAUGGUUAAAUUGUCUGCAAAAUGUUUCAUCUUUCUUGUGAAGCAUCUUCCUUGUCCAAUAUAGCAUCAAUCUAUAAUUUGCACCACUUGGGAAUCAUCAAGUGCUAGUUCUCCAUAAAUUCAUUUUCCCACGGCUUGAGAUCUUCAUACGGAACUAAAGAUGAACCGCUGAAAUCACAGAUAAAUGGAAAAUAUCGGACGUUAGAAGAGAGAAUUUCGUAGUACAGCAAAUCUUCAAACGCAAAGGCAGGCAGCAAGCGUUCGCAAGAUCAAUUGCAGCCAUAAGUAGCAGACUAGAGUAGAACAAGAGAGUUAAGAUUGAAGUGAUUGCAUCUUUCGCCAUUGUCACAGAAAUCACAGGUACAAUGUCACCCAUGCUCGACGAAUCUGAUGGGCACAGAAGACUACAAGACACUACAUACAGGAUCUCAUCGUAGUCCAUGAGAAAUGGAUCUAAGCAACAAUGGCUAGGCUAUGGGGACGACGGCUACUCCUUGGUGGCGGCGGUCUUCUUCUUGGGGGACUUGGCGGCCGUCUUCUUCUUGGGCGACUUGGCCUCCUUCUCGGCGGCGGCGGGGGACUUCUUGGGGAGCAGCACGGAGUUGAUGUUGGGGAUCACGCCACCGUGGGCGAUGGUGACGCCGGCGAGCAGCCUGCGGAGCUCCUGGUCAUUGCGGACGGCGAGGAGCAGGUGGCGCGGGAUGAUGCGGGUCUUCUUGUUGUCCUUGGCAGCAUUGCCGGCGAGCUCCAGGACCUGCGCAUUCAAAAACGAAAUCUGUCAGUUAACUGUCCGAGCACGGGAAGAACAGAGCAGAACAGAUGUUCAAGGACGGGGAAGAUCGGCGCAUACCUCUGCGGCGAGGUACUCGAGGACGGCGGCGAGGUAGACGGGGGCGCCGGAGCCGACGCGCUGCGCGUAGCGGCCCUUCUUGAGGUAGCGCCCGAUGCGGCCGACGGGGAACUGGAGCCCGGCCUUGACGGACCUGGUCACCGCCUUCUUCCUGUCGCCGCCCUUCCUUCCGGCCAUCUUGCUUGCUGCUACUUCUCCGGCGACGAGGACUCUCGAGGUGUGGUGUUUGCGGCGGCGGUGCUAGAUCGGAAUGCUCUG